UCACAAACCAUGUGAGAAAUAUAUACACCAAUGGUAAAGCCACCACAAGCAAAGGUGGUAACUUGAAUCAAAGUAACAUGAGACCCAGAAGGAAGUUCAUACUCACAAACUACAUCUGGCAGUAAUUUUCUUAGUGAUGCUAGGUCAGGUUGAGCGAGAUACUGAGAUAAAGGAAUGUUUGAUGUAGCUUCUACAUAACAUGCACCUUCAUCAUUACAAUCAAUGGAAAAUCUGUCUUUAACUCUACCAGCGAGUGGAUAAAAUCGAGAUAAAGUUUCAGAUAAAGAUUGCUUUAACAAGAGUAAUCUUUCGGUUAAAUUUGCAUCUUGGGAAUUUUCAUAGAAAAGAAUGUAGUAGAAAUAGCCAGAUGGUAUAAAUUGAUCCAGUAGAGAGAUUUUGUAGGUUUUGAGGUUGGGUGGUGUUGGUGAAGAGGGUGGAAUGCUGCUUUUGGAAAUUAUUUGACCCUCCAUAUUCAUCGUUUGCUGCUUAAUAUGUAAUUGUAAGAACUAUUUGCUGCUGAUGACUGUUUAGAUUGGGUUCUAUAUAUAGACACUAGUCUUGCAUUAAAAUAAUUACAAUUAUAAUUUAUUUCUGUGAGGUACGAGUUAUAGAAUUUAACAUUUUAUAGAAUUUUUUUAUAUAUUUCUUGAUCAAAAUGGUCAAAGUUAGUAGGGCAUACUGCACCAUUUCAUCUCGGGAGUUGUACACUUUUAAAAAAUUAAUAAAAAGCGAAAAAGGACAACAUUUUGCAUGGUACUUUUAAAUGCAUAAACAUGAAAAUAUAAAUACAAGAAGACAUUUACAUAUUUAAUUCUGAACGGGCAAAUAUAAACAUGCAUGGCUACAUCUGGCGGAACGUCGGAACCAUAAAUUUUAGUCGAUGGGGCGAAGUGAUGGGCGAGUUUACAGCGUGUUAUCUGCAGUAAAACUGCUCAUCACUCGAUCUAACUACAAUUACUCCAUUCAAUUCAAUCUAAUUUAGAAUAUAUAAUGAGUUGAGUUGAGUUGAACGGAUUAUUUUUAUAAUUAUGAAUUGAAUCUAAAUAAAUAUGUAGAUUCGAUUUAAUCCAUAAAUAAUGUUAAAUAAUUACAUGUAUAAUUAUAAAUUGUUAAUUUAAUUUGAUUUGAUUUACUAUUUUGCAUAUAAAUAUUAAAUUAUUAUAUAUUUAAUAGACAUUGUCUUUUAAAAUAUUAUUUUUUUAGUAUAAAUUUAUUUUGAAUUAUUGUAUUGGAGUAUAUUAUAGUUUAAAAUAUAUGUAUAAUUAUGUUACUAAGUCUUUUUAAUUUUAAUGGUUGUCUUUUUUGGUAGAAAAUUUAAUUUUUUAUUAUUAUUGAUUAUGUUGAUGAUGAUGUAAAAAAAAUCCAUUUUAAUAUUAUUAUUGAAAUAUAUUUAUAGUUUAUAAAAAUUAUUGCAUAAUUAUGUUUCUAAGUAUAUAUUUUUAUUUUUGGUAAGUGCUCUUAAAUAGUUGUAUUUUAUUUAAAAAUAUUUUCAUUAUCUAUCAUUUAUUUAUCUAAUUCAACUCAUUUAUAACUCGCGGGUUCACCUAUUUAAUGGGUUGGGUUGGAUCAAAAUGCAUUAGACCCGCAACUUAUUAAAUUUAUAAACCUGACCCAACUCAACCCACGUGCAAUCCUAUACACCAAGUAUACGUGCCCACAUAUACACAAAAUUAAUCAUAUAUAAUAUUUUACUCAAACGAGAGUGUUUUUUAUAUAAAUUACUUGUCUAGACCGGUUUCGUAGUCCCACUUAUAAACAAAACAAAUGAAAUUAAAAAUUCUUUAAAAAAUAUUUCAAUUUUAUUUUUUUUUCAAAUUUCAAGUGUAUAGUCAAAAAUAUCUUUGUUUUGAUAAAAAUAUUUAAUUUCAUUGAUUUGGUCGAAAAGCGAGAUUUCAUUCUAGAUAAAUUUUUCCCCGAUUUUAAUCUUGUAAUAAGAAAAAAAAUAAAACUAUGUCGUCUUUUCAAAAGUUUUUUUUUAUUAUUAUCUGGCUAGGGGAUGUAUGUAAAUCUUAUCCUAAGAGGAAAUCAGGAAAUAAUUAUAGCUCUCACUUUCAAAUCCUAGCGGAUUUGCAGGAUGCUGAUGAGAAGUUGAGGUCUUCAUCAAAACUGUAACCUUAUUGUAGCUUAGUGUUUCUUUUCAUAACAUUUUCAACCACCUUAAUCUAAUAUUUUCAGACAAUGUGUAAUUGUUUUUUUUUUAUUAUUUUUAAUGUUCCACUGAAAAUAAGAAAUUCCUACUUUUCUUCUUUGUUUUUUCUUACAAUAGUUUCAGAUGUUAGAAGAGAAAAAUUAUCGGUAUGAAGCAUCAAAAUAGCUUAGCGGAUGUACUUCUAAUUUCCAAACUUAUUUAUAUAUUUUCUAAAACAUUUCCUUCAUACUCAAAAUUGAAUGGUUAAACGACAAACAAAAUAGUUGCCGUAUAAAAUAUAACGUAAACGUGGUAAAUUAAUGUGGUAGAGUUGGUUUUUCACGUCUUUUCUUUUUUAAAUAUGUAAAAUUGAUUUUUGGAAAUCACAUCGCCAUAGGACUUAUCUAUUACGAUGAAAUUAAUUAUAAAAAAUUUUUAGUUCGAGAAUAAUUUUAACCAUGUAUUAAAAAAAUUAAAAUAAACGAUUUUUGCUUCCUCCUAGCUACCACUUUCUUCCUUCUUGAAGUGUGAUUGGAAAUAAUAACUUCUAUUAUUAUUACAUUUAUAUAAUAAUUUCAUUAGUUUUCACAAGAUGACUUUACUGUAUUCAAAAGAUUUAUGUGACAUUUGAACAUACAAGUAGAGAAAUAUAUUAUUAUCAAAAAAAAGAAAUAUUAUGUUAUUAGAAAGAGAAAUACAUGAAAAGAGCAAUACUUAAUUACUAAAAAUGCAUGAUAAUUAAUUAUAAAUUGGAGAUGGAUUAAUGGAAGCAUAUUGAAGAAGCUCUGUAUCCUUNNNNNNNNNNNNNNNNNNNNNNNNNNNNNNNNNNNNNNNNNNNNNNNNNNNNNNNNNNNNNNNNNNNNNNNNNNNNNNNNNNNNNNNNNNNNNNNNNNNNNNNNNNNNNNNNNNNNNNNNNNNNNNNNNNNNNNNNNNNNNNNNNNNNNNNNNNNNNNNNNNNNNNNNNNNNNNNNNNNNNNNNNNNNNNNNNNNNNNNNNNNNNNNNNNNNNNNNNNNNNNNNNNNNNNNNNNNNNNNNNNNNNNNNNNNNNNNNNNNNNNNNNNNNNNNNNNNNNNNNNNNNNNNNNNNNNNNNNNNNNNNNNNNNNNNNNNNNNNNNNNNNNNNNNNNNNNNNNNNNNNGCUCCUUAUCCUUUGCUGUGAAUACUGUACCAACAAAGCUUAUAAAGUUCCCAAACGAACAUUCUGGUAAUAACGGCCCCAUUUUUCGUCUCAGAUUAACAGAAUGACAUAUCGCAAGCGGUUUAUCGAUACCUGUUUUGUUUUUGAAAGAAGAUAUAAAGCACUUGCUAAGAAAUGAGGUUACUACCUCAACGCGCGUAGGGUUAACAAUGUCCAAACUUGCUUUCGCUUUCAGAUUGGCAAUGGCGGAUUCGUUAAACACAAUCCUGUUUACUGUAUGCUUGCCUUUUUUAACAAAAGGAGCAUACAAAGUAGUAAAAAAGCUCACCCCGCUUGGAAAUGCAGUAUACUGUGGGAAAAUGGACUCUACAUUCAAAUAAGGGUGUUUGGUAGGUAAUUUACAUGCAGUAGCAGCCCAAUCUUUUGCGAAUAAACCCAAACCAGUUCCAUCACAAACCAUAUGAGAAAAAUAUGCACCAACGGUAAAGCCACCACAAGCAAAAGUGGUAACUUGAAUCAAAGCAACAUGAGACCCAGAAGGAAUUUCAUACUCACAAAUUACAUCUGGCAGCAAUUUUCUGAGUGAUGCUAGAUCAGGUUGAGCGAGAUACUGAGAUAAAGAAAUGUUAGUUGCAGCUUCUACAUAACAUGCACCUUCAUCAUUACAAUCGAUGGAAAAUCUGUCUUUAACUCUACCAGCGAGUGGAUAAAANNNNNNNNNNNNNNNNNNNNNNNNNNNNNNNNNNNNNNNNNNNNNNNNNNNNNNNNNNNNNNNNNNNNNNNNNNNNNNNNNNNNNNNNNUUCAUAAUUUGCAGCUUAGAGAUGAUUAUGACUAAUCAGAUUGGCUUUUCUAUAUAUAGAGGUUAGUCCUUUAUUAAAAUAAUUACAUGUUGACGCAUGGCAUUAUUAUAAUUAUACUAAUUGAUUUUUGUAAUUAAAUAUUAAAUAAAUCCUCCAUGAUCGACUCCAACCAUUAGAGGGAUUGUCCGCUUAGAAUUAAACCAAUUACAUGUUAUACUGAUUGACAAGACCCGCACAGUUUUGUCCUGCAGAUGAAAUGGAAAACAUCCCAGGAAGUCACCCAUCCUAAGAUUUUCAUUAAGUAAAUACGCUUAACCUGAAGUUCUUCCAACUCUCUAAGUUAUUCCACAAAAAGACGUUUCUUAUGAUCGUUUUACCAGGUCGGAAUGUUACAACUAUAUUGUUUUACUACAUUUGUUUCAUAAAUUGAUUAUUCCAAGAUAGUAGUUGUCACAUUUAUAAUUUUAAAGAAUAAUAAAUCUCUUUUUUCCCCGUUUAUCCUUUGUAUACGACCAAUUAUUAUUAUUUCGAUUUAAUGGUUUUCUUAGACAAUUGAUAUUACAUUAAGGAUAAAAUAGUCAAUUUACUUAAGAAAUUUAAUAAUUUUCUUAAGAAACGUGAAAUUCCAAAUGUGACAAGUAUUAUAGAACAGAAUUAGUAAUAUAGAAGUAUAAAAAAACCUUGUGGCACCCCUCAACUUUGUGAGUGACCUAUUACUCUUCUAAAGUUAUGAAUUUUGCCAAUAUUAUGUCCCUCUUUAUACUAAUAAUAUUUUUUUUUUAGUAUUUAUGUGCAAGAUAUUCGCUUAAUAUGUGGUUAGUGUAAUAUUAGGAAUAAUAAUUUUUACAUUUUUUCACUAUCUAAGAAGUAUUUAAUUGAUUUAAUUUUAGAAGUUUGAGUAUUCAAUAGAAUAACUUUUGCAAGUUGAAGUAUUUAAUUGGUUCAAUUUUAUAAAUUGAAGCGUUCAAUAGAUCAAAAUAAAAGUUCAAGGUGAAAUAAAUUUUUUUUAGUAAAAUAUAGAGAUGAAUUUAUGCAUUGGGCUCUUAUUAAUAUAAUUGUUAAUUUUUCUUAUUUUUCUUUCAUAAUAUUUUAUUAAAAAUAAGAACUUUCUCGAGUGAUAUUAAUCAUUAUUCUUCUUUUUUUUUUUCUUAUAAUGAUUUAAAGAAAGUUAGACAAUAUUUUCUUUGCAUUUUUAUAGUAGCAAUUUCAAUUAACAUUUCUGAAAAUUUCAAUUAACAGUAGCAAAAUAUUAUCCGCAACACAAACUCCUCUCGGUUUAGUCCUUUUAACUCCGAGGGCAAGCAAAAAUUAAUCAGGUUUGUUGAUUGUUAAAACAGACAUGCCUAGAUACCUCGUGUAUAAAUAUUUUAUAAUAUUAUAUUAUAUAUUAAAAAUUAAAUUAAUUGAUAAGUAAUUUUGUUUUGUAAAAACUUAAUUCUCAAAUUAUAACAAUGUAUUAUCAUUACAAUUAAAUAUAUCAUUUCCUUAAAGGAACUAUUUAAUUAUUGCAUUUUUAUACCUUAUUAUUUCAUAUAAUGUUUUUUUUUUUAUUUUGCGAAUAUUUUUAUAUUUUUAAUAAUAUAAAUCAUUCGCCUCCUUCAAAAAAAUAAUGUAAAUGGUUCCUAAUAUUAUAUAAAUAAUAUAAAUCGUUUGGGAAAUCAUCACAUGCAUUAAGUUAAUCGAACGAAUUCAUUUAAUAUACAUACGUUAUACAUACAAUGUAAGCACUAUUCUGUCUAAUUUUUCUAACAUGUAUUUUACAGUUUCUCAAUGUUUUAAAAUUCGAAUUAUUAAUUUACUUUUGUUUUUUAUAAUGUUAAAUCAUUCCAUUCUCACAAUUAUGAAAUAUAAGAACAAAUUUUAACUGGACCCACGAUAUAAUCAUUAUAUUCUCAUGUAUUAUAAUAUAAAACAAAUCUUAUUUGAUAACCAAAUUUCGAAGGUCCACAUCCGACACGUCUACGUAACCACCACUUCUUGCUAGGGGCGGUUCCGGAACCGGAACCGAACCGAAAAUUUUUAGUUUCAGAAUCGGAACCGAAUCGAAAAUUUUUGGUUCUGGUUCUGAUUUCGGUUCGUCGACGGUUUCAAAACCGACGGUUUCGAUCGGUUUUCCGGCAAAUCGCAUAAUUUUAAAUUUUAAAUUUUGAAGACAGGUUUUCAAAAUUUAAAAAAUUUGUGAAAGUUAUUUCUAAAAAAAAUACACCUAAAAAAAUUAAAAAAUGCUUCAAUUAAAUUUAUUUUUUUAAAGACUUGAACUUGUUUAUUUAAAAAAAAAAGUCUUCAAUUGAAUUUAUUUUUUGUUUAAAAAAGUUUGAACAUAAUUUAAAAAAAAAAAAAAGGCUUGAACUUAUGGUUGUUGAAAGGGGUAAUUAAGAGAUUUCACAAUAAAAUUUAAAAAAAAAAAAAACUGACAGUUUCUAAGGGCUAGAACCGCCGGUUCUAACUGGCCGGAGAACCGACGGUUCCAUCCGGUUCCGACCAGUUUGCAGUUCCAACAAAACUGGAAUUGGAACCGAACCGACAAUCUCCGGUUCCGAUUCCAGUUCAGACCGGCUCCGGUUUCCACCGGUUCCGAUUUUCACCGGUUCCGGUUAUGGUUUGCGACCGGUUCGAACCACCGGUUCUGGUUCCCGGAACUGUAAUAUGGCCACCCUACUUCUUGCUGCCAUUUGUCAGUCCCACAAUCAAUUUUUGGUUUUUUUUUUUUUUAAGUAGAAAAUAAAAUUACUAGGGAUAUGGGAAUUUUAGUUUUUAAUUUUUGAUAACAAUUUAAAUCACUUUAAUCCCAUAUCCCUAGUAAAAAUGUAAAUGUAGUUUCCAAAUUUACAGUUCACGAAUAGUUUGUGUAGUUUGUAAGAGAAUCCCUUCAAUAGUUAAACGACAAACAAAUAAUUGCCGAAUAAGAUGGAAAUUAAUGUGGUUGGUAUAGCCAGAAACGACAAACGUACUUGAGCAUAAUUUCUGAGUGCUCUGUGACAAUUUGAGCAUCAUCGUUGAAACCACUAGCCAAAAGAGCCAUUAUUGUUGUUGAUGGUAAUAAUAAUAUACUAUUCACAAUAUAGAAAUAAUUUAAUUACUUUCAGAAGGAGAAAUACAUAAAAAGAGCAAUACUUAAUUACUGAUAAAUUGGAGAUGGAUUAAUGGAAGCAUAUUGAAGAAGCUCUGUAUCUUUCUCUAAAACAUCAAACUCAUCUUCUUGCAUUAAUACCCAUGCUUCUAUUCCUCUAUCUGUUCUUGUAUCCAUCAAAAGAACGAAAUUCACAUGUGACUCAUCUUCAUCCGCUGCAAGACAGGUUACCCAUAUUGGCUUUCCCCAGCCAAAGUCAGUAUCAUAAAUACCAAAGUUACACCAGCUACUAAACCCAGCAAACUCCAUUGCUCCACUGCCAAAUUCUGGGUUAGUAUAUAAAUUUCUAACCUUCUUCAUUGCAUCAUAAUACUUGGAGAAUCCAUCUUCACCUCCACUAUUUAUCUUCUUCAAGAAAUCGUUAUCCACUUUUUUCAUUUCUUCUCUUAGUUCACUCACUAAUUCACUCAACUCCUUCUCCUUCGUUGUGAAUACUGCACCUGCAAAGCUUAUAAUGUUCCCUAACAAAGAUUCUGGUAAUGGCGGAUCCGCUUUUCUUCUCAAAUUCACAGGAUGACAUAUUGCAAGAGGUUUAUCGAUACCUGUUUUGUUUUUGAAAGAAGCUAUAAGGCAUUUGCUGAGAAUUGCAGUUACUACCUCAACGCGGGUAGGAUUUACAGUGUUCAAACUUGCUUUCGCUUUAAGAUUGGCAAUGGCGGAUUCGUUAAACACAAUCCUGUUUACUGUAUGCUUGCCUUUUUUAAUAAAAGGAGCAUACAAAGUAGAAAAGAAACUCACCCCGCUUGGAAAUUCAGUAUACUGUGGGAAAAUGGACUCUGCUUCCAAAUACGGUUGUUUGGUUGGUGAUUUGCAUGUAGUAGCAGCCCAAUCUUUUACAAACGAGCCCAUAGUAGUUCCAUCACAAAAAAUGUGAGAAAUAUAAACACCAAUGGUAAAGCCACCACAAGCAAAGGUAAUAACUUGAAUCAAAGUAACAUGAGACCCAGAAGGAAGUUCAUACUCACAAACUACGUCUGGCAGUAAUUUUCUUAGUGAUGCUAGGGCAGGUUGAGCGAGAUACUGAGAUAAAGGAAUGUUAGAUGUAGCUUCUACAUAACAUGCACCUUCAUCAUUACAAUCAAUGGAAAAUCUGGCUUUAACUCCACCAGCGAGUGGAUAAAAUCGAGAUAAAGUUUCAGAUAAAGAUUGCUUUAACAAGAGUAAUCUUUCGGUUACAUUUGCAUCUUGGGAAUUUUCAUUGAAAAGAAUGUAGUAGAAAUAGCCAGAUGGUAUAAAUUGAUCGAGUAGAGAGAUUUUGUAGGUUUUGAGGUUGGGUGGUGUUGGUGAAGAGGGUGGAAUGCUGCUUUCGGAAAUUAUUUGACCCUCCAUAUUCAUCGUUUGCUGCUUAAUAUGUAAUUGUAAGAACUAUUUGCUGAUGAUGAGUGUUUAGAUUGGGUUCUAUAUAUAGACACUAGUCUUGCAUUAAAAUAAUUAUAAUUAUAAUUUAUUUCUGUGAGAUAUAAUAAGUUAUACAAUUUAAUAUUUUAUAGAAUUUUAAAUAUAUUUCUUGAUCAAAAUGGUCAAACUAGGGCAUACUGCACCAUUUCAUCUCGGGAGUUGUACACUUUUUAAAAAUUAAUAAAAAGCAAAAGAGGACAAUAUUUUGCAUGGUACUUUUAAAUGCUUAAACCUGAAUAUAUAAAUACAAGAAGACAUUUACAUCUGGCGGAACGCAGAACCAUAAAUUUUAGUUGGUGCGUGUUAUCUGCAGUAAGACUGCACAUCUCUCGUUCUAACUUUAUCCGAUUAGAACUAUUCUAUUCAAUUUAAUCCGAUCGAAUUCAAAAUAUAUAAUGAAUUAAAUUAAAUGGGUUAUUUUUGUAAUUUAUGAAUUGAAAUAACGAUUUUUGCUUCCUCCUAGCACUUUCUUCCUCUCGAAGUGUGAUUGCAAAUAAUAACUUUUAUUAUUACUAUAUUUAUAUAAUAAUUUCAUUAGGUUUCGCAAGAUGACUUUACUGUAUUCAAAAGAUUUAUGUGACAUUUGAGCAUACAAGUAGAGAAAUAUAUUAUUAUCAAAAAAAAGAAAUAUUAUGUUAUUAGAAAGAGAAAUACAUGAAAAGAGCAAUACUUAAUUACUAAAAAUGCAUGAUAAUUAAUUAUAAAUUGGAGAUGGAUUAAUGGAAGCAUAUUGAAGAAGCUCUGUAUCCUUCUCUAAAAUAUCAAACUCAUCUUCCUUCAUCAACACCCAUGCUUCUAUUCCUUUAUCUACUCUUCUAUCCAUUAAAAAAACAAAGCUGACGUGCGACUCAUCGGCGUCCGGUGCAAGACAGGCCGCCCAUAUUGGCUUUCCCCAGCCAAAAUCUAUAUCAUAUAUACCGAAGUUGCACGAACUGGUAAACCCAACAAACUCCGUUGCUUCAUUGCCAAAUUCUGAGUUAGUAUAUGAAUUUCUAACCUCCUUCAUUGCAUCAUAAUACUUGAGGAAUCCUACUUCACCUCCACUUUUUAUCUUCUUCAGAGUAUCAAUGUCCACUUUUUUCAUUGCUUCUCUUAGUUCACUCACUAAUUCACUCAACUCCUUAUCCUUUGCUGUCAAUACUGUACCAACAAAGCUUAUAAAGUUCCCGAACGAACAUUCUGGUAAUAACGGCCCCAUUUUUCGUCUCAGAUUCACAGAAUGGCAUAUCGCAAGCGGUUUAUCGAUACCUGUUUUGUUUUUGAAAGAAGAUAUAAAGCACUUGCUAAGAAAUGAGGUUACUACCUCAACGCGCGUAGGGUUAACAAUGUCCAAACUUGCUUUCUCUUUCAGAUUGGCAAUGGCGGAUUCGUUAAACACAAUCCUGUUUACUGUAUGCUUGCCUUUUUUAACAAAAGGAGCAUACAAAGUAGUAAAAAAGCUCACCCCGCUUGGAAAUGCAGUAUACUGUGGGAAAAUGGACUCUACAUUCAAAUAAGGGUGUUUGGUAGGUAAUUUACAUGCAGUAGCAGCCCAAUCUUUUGCGAAUAAACCCAAACCAGUUCCAUCACAAACCAUAUGAGAAAAAUAUGCACCAACGGUAAAGCCACCACAAGCAAAAGUGGUAACUUGAAUCAAAGCAACAUGAGACCCAGAAGGAAUUUCAUACUCACAAAUUACAUCUGGCAGCAAUUUUCUGAGUGAUGCUAGAUCAGGUUGAGCGAGAUACUGAGAUAAAGAAAUGUUAGUUGCAGCUUCUACAUAACAUGCACCUUCAUCAUUACAAUCGAUGGAAAAUCUGUCUUUAACUCUACCAGCGAGUGGAUAAAAUCGAGUUAAAGUUUCAGAUAAGGAUUGCUUUAACAACAGCAAUCGUUCAGUUACAUUUGUUUCUUGGGAAUUUUCAUAGAAAAGAACGUAGUAGAAAUAGCCAGAGGGUAUAAAUUGAUCGAUUAGAGAGAUUUUGUAGGUUUUAAGGUGAGUUGGUGUUGGUGAAGAGGGUGAAAUGCAGCUUUUGGAAAUUAUUUCAACCUCCAUGUUCAUAAUUUGCAGCUUAGAGAUGAUUAUGACUAAUCAGAUUGGCUUUUCUAUAUAUAGAGGUUAGUCCUUUAUUAAUUAUACUAUACAUAAUCACAUGUUCACGCAUGGCAUUAUUAUAAUUAUACUAAUUGAUUUUUGUAAUCUAUAUAUUAAAUAAAUAUAGAAUCUCGAGGUAAAUGCUUUAUAAUUUAAUAUCUUUGACAUUUCUUUAUACUAUUGUCACGAUCGACUCCAACCAUUAGAGGGAUUGUCCGCUUUGAAUUAAGCCAAUUACAUAUUAUACUGAUUGGCAAGAUCCGCACAGUUUUGUCCUACAGGUGAAAUGGAAAACAUUCCAGGAGGUCACCCAUCCUAAAAUUUUCGUUAAGCAAAUACGCUGAACCUGAAGUUCCUCCAAUUCUCCAAGUUAUUCCACCUUAAGAUCGCUUUACCAGGUCGGAAUGUCACAACUAUAUUCUUUUACUACAUCUGUUUCAUAAAUUGUUUGUUCCAAGACAGUAGUCGUCACAUUUAUAGUUUUAAAAAAUAAUAAAUCUCUUUUUUCCCCGUUUAUCCUUUAUAUACGACCAAUCAUUAUUAUUUCGAUUUAAUGGUUUUCUUAGAGAAUUGAUAUUACGUUAAGGAUAACAUCGUCAAUUUACUCAAUAAUUUAGACAAAUUUAAUAAUUUUCUUAAGAAACGUGAAAUUCCAAAUGUGACAAGUAUUAUGGAACAGAGUUAGUAAUAUAGAAGUAUAAAAAAACCUUGUGGCAUCCCUUAACUUUGCGAGUAACCUAUUACGCCUCUAAAGUUAUGAAUUUUGCCAAUAUUAUAUCCCUCUUUAUACUAAUAAUAUUUUUUUUUUUUUUAGUAUUUUUGGUAUUUAUGUGCAAGAUAUUCGUUUAAUAUGUGGUUAGUGUAAUAUUAGGAAUAAUAAUUUUUACAUUUUUCAACUAUCUAAUAAGUGUUUAAUUGAUUUAAUUUUAGAAGUUUGAGUAUUCAAUAGAAUAAUUUUUGCAAGUUGAAGUAUUUAAUUGGUUCAAUUUUAUAAAUUGAAGCAUUCAAUAGGUCAAAGUAAAAGUUCAAAGUGCUAUUAAUUCUUUUUUUAGUAAAGUAUACAUGAAUUUAUGUAUUAGGACCUUAUUAAUAUAAUUAUUAAUUUUUCUUAUUUUUCUUUCCUAAUGUUUCAUUAAAAAUAAGAACUUUCUCGAGUGAUAGUAAUCAUUAUUCUUCUUUUUUUUUUCUUAUAAUGAUUUAGAGAAAGUUAGACAAUAUAUUUUUUUUUUUUUUUGCAUUUUUAUAGUAGCAAUUUCAAUUAACAUUUCUGAAAAUUUCAAUUAAUAGUAGCAAAAUAUUAUCCGCAAUACAAACUCCUCUCGGGCUAGUCCCUUUGACUCCGAGGGCAAGCAAAGAUUAGUCGGAUUUGUUGAUCGUUAAAACAGACAUGCCUAGAUAUCUCGUGUAUAAAUAUUUUAUAAUAUUAUAUUAUAUAUUAAAAAGUAAAUUAAUUGAUAAGUAAUUUUAUUUUGUAAAAAUUUAAUUGUCAAAUUAUAACGAUGUAUUAUCAUUUAAAUAUAUCAUUUCCUGAAAGGAACUAUUUAAUUAUUGCAUUUUUAUACCUUAUUAUUUCAUAUAAUGUUUUUUUUAUUUUGUAAAUAUUUUUAUAUUUUUAAUAAUAUAAAUCAUUCGCCUCCUUCAAAAAAAUAAUAUAAAUGGUUCCUCAUAUUAUAUAAAUAAAAUUAUAUAUAUAUAAGUGUAUAUAGUCCCAUAUGGACAUGUGAAAAGCCAACUGUUUCUGGCUCUACCAUAGUAAUAAAAAAUCCAUUUAAUAAUUAAUCUAAAAAAAUGCGAUUCACCAUUUCAUAAUCCCAAAAAAUAUAUUUGAGGAUUUUUAGGGAUUUUGAGAUUUUAAGGGAAUUUUAAUUAUUUAAUCUAAAAUUCUAAAUAAUGAUAUUAUCCGUUAGAUUUAAAAACGAAAUCCAUAAUUGUCGUUUGGAGAAUCAUUACAUGCAUUAAGUUAAUGGAACGAAUUCAUUUAAUAUACAUACAAGGUAAGUACUAUUCUGUUUAAUUUUUCUAACAUGGAUUUUACAGUUUCUCAAUGUUUUAAAAUUCGAAUUAUUAAUUUACUUUUGUUUUUUAUAAUCGUUCGAUUCUCACGAUUAUAAAAUAUAAGAAAAAUUUUAACUAGACCCAAGAUAUAAUCAUUAUAUUCUUUUGUAUUAUAAUAUAAAACAAAUCUUAUUUGAUAACCAAAUUUCGAAGGUCCACAUCCGACACGUCAGCAUAACCACCACUUCUUGCUGCCAUUUGUCGGUCCCACAAUCAAUUUUUGGAUUUUUUUUUAAGUAGAAAAUAAAAUUACUAGGGAUAUGGGAAUUUUAGUUUUUAAUUUUUCAUAACAAUUUAAAUCACUUUAAUCCCAUAUCCCCAGUAAAAAUGUAAAUGUAAUUUCCAAAUUUACAAUUUACAAAUAGUUUGUGUAGUUUGUAAGAGAAUCCCUUCAAUAGUUAAACGACAAACAAAAAAUUGCCAAAUAAAAUGGAAAUUAAUGUGGUGGGUAGACCCAGAAACGACAAACGUACUUGAGCAUAAUUUCUUAGUGCUCUGCGACAGUUUGAGCAUCAUCGUUGAAACCACUAGCCAAAAGAACCAUUAUUGUUGUUGAUGGUAAUAAUAAAUAUAUUAUUCGCAAGAUAAACAUAAUUUAAUUACUUUCAGAAGAAGAAAUACAUAAAAAGAGUAAUACUUAAUUACUGAUAAAUUGGAGAUGGAUUAAUGGAAGCAUAUUGAAGAAGCUCUGUAUCUUUCUCUAAAACAUCAAACUCAUCUUCUUGCAUUAAUACCCAUGCUUCUAUUCCUCUAUCUGUUCUUGUAUCCAUCAAAAGAACGAAAUUGACAUGUGACUCAUCUUCAUCCGGUGCAAGACACGUUACCCAUAUUGGCUUUCCCCAGCCAAAGUCAGUAUCAUAAAUACCAAAGUUACACCAGCUACUAAACCCAGCAAACUCCAUUGCUCCACUGCCAAAUUCUGGGUUAGUAUAUAAAUUUCUACCCUUCUUCUUUGCAUCUUAAUACUUGGAGAAUCCAUCUCCACCUCCACUUUUUAUCUUCUUCAAGAAAUCAUUAUCCACUUUUUUCAUUUCUUCUCUUAGUUCACUCACUAAUUCAAUCAACUCCUUCUCCUUCGUUGUGAAUACUGCACCUGCAAAGCUUAUAAUGUUCCCUAACAAAGAUUCUGGUAAUGGCGGAUCCGCUUUUCGUCUCAAAUUCACAGCAUGACAUAUUGCAAGAGGUUUAUCGAUACCUGUUUUGUUUUUGAAAGAAGCUAUAAGACAUUUGCUGAGAAAUGCAGUUACUACCUCAACGCGGGUAGGAUUAAUAUUGUUCAAACUUGCUUUCGCUUUAAGAUUGGUAAUAGCGGAUUCGUUAAACACAAUCCUGUUUAGUGUAUACUUGCCCUUUUUUACAAAAGGAGCAUACAUAGUAGUAAAGAAGCUCACUCCACUUGGAAAUGCUGUAUAAGGUGGGAAAAUGCCCUCCGCAGCCAAAUAAGGGUGUUUGGUUGGUGAUUUGCAUGUAGUAGCAGCCCAAUCUUUUAGAAACAAAAACAAACUAGCUCCAUCGCAGAACAUGUGAGAAGCAUAUAUACCAAUGGUAAAGCCACCACAAGCAAAGGUGGUUUCUUGAAUCAGAGCAAUAUGAGAUCCAGAAGGAAGUUCAUACUCACAAAUUAUAUCUGGCAGCAAUUUUCUGAGUAAUGCUAGAUCAGGUUUAGCGAGAUACUGAGAUAAAGUAAUAUUAGAUGUAGCUUCUAUAUAACAUGCACCUUCAUCGUUACAAUCAAUGGAAAAUCUGUCUUUAACUUUACCAGCAAGUGGAUAAAAUCGAGAUAAAGUUUCAGAUAAGGAUUGCUUUAACAACAGCGAUCUUUCUGUAAUUACGUUUGGUUCUUGGGAAUUUUGAUAGAAAAGAAUGACAUAGAAAUAGCCAGAUGGGAUAAAUUGAUCGAGUAGAGAGAUUUUAUAGGUUUGAAGAUGGGGUGGCGUUGGUGAAGAGGGUGGAAUGCGGCUUCUGGAAAUUAUUUCAACCUCCAUAUUCAUCAUUUUGCAGCUUAACAUGUAAGUAUAAGAACUAUGAGACGAUCAUGAACUAUAUAUAUAGAAGGCUAGUCUUGGAAUCGUCCACUCACUAAGUUAAUAUUUUUCAUAUUUCUUUCUUCCAAAUCAAUGGUCAAUUUGGGUAUGCUUGUGCCAUUUUAAAAAAUUAAUAAAAAGCAAAAAUGAAUAUUUUGCCUGAUAAAAAAUUGAUUCUCAACCGCAAAUAUAAACAUUAUCCCAUCUGAUAACUUCACCGGACAAAUUCUGGUGUAUACUGACUGUCAUGGCAUCUAACUUAUAAGUCCAAACACAACCAAACAAAUAAAAGAUAAAUAGCAAAUUAUCUGAUUUCAGAGGUUUUUUGUGAGCAAAUCAUUCUAUUUAUUUUUCCAAAUCUUAAUUAUUCUUGAAUAAAAUGCAGAUUAAAGAUGAACUAAUUACAUAAUUGAAGGGGACUUGGGUCCAAGGAAGAAAAUGAGAGUAUAUGUGUUUCAAGUUCUAAAAUAGCCAUAUCUUGUUCAUCUAAGGUCAACCAAACUUCAAUUCCAUCACCACCACUUGUUUCAUUCAAGAACACCAGAUUUUGAAACACUGGUCCAAUAACUCCACCAGGGCUCACCCAAAUAGGCUUUCCCCACCCAAAAUCAGUUUCAUAAAUUCCAACCUUGCAUAAGCUGCUAAAUGUCAAGUAAUCAGCUCCUGCAUUAGAAUACACUUCACUGAAUUCUUGCAGACACUCACAAACCUUAUAAAACCCUUCUUCACCACUUAGUUUUUGAACAAAAUUACUAUCAAUUUUUAAAAUGGAUUCUCUUAGAAGGCCCACAAGAACAUGCAAUUCUCUCUCUGCCUCUGUGCAACAUUUUGCGAUCGACAUCCAAAGAAGAUUCCCAACUGAACUUUCAGGCAAAUGGACUGUCUUCUUUCCUCUCAGGUUCACUGUAUGAGACAAAACAGAGGGUUUAUACGAGCCAUUUCUUUUUUCAGAAGCAACCAUUGUGCAUUGCCAAAUGAAAGCAGAGACAGCUUCUACUCUAGUUGGCCGUUGUACAAAUGAAGAACUGGAAGCUCUAGCCUUAAGAGUGGCUAUGGCAGAAGAAUCAAACACAAAUCUUUUCAUAACACCUUUGCCAAACUUUACCAAUGAAGGCCAUACAGCCAAUAAUGUAUCUUUUGGCAGAGAAUGAUUUUGUGGGAAUAAAGAAGGUGCAGUGAAACUAGGCUGCACAACUAGUUCACCUGAACCGCGAGCAAUGGCUGCCCAGGCUUUGAGGAAGGAAGUUGACGUUGGACCAUCUAUGAUCUUGUGUGACGUUUUUGUCCCAAUAGCAAUCCCACCGCACUUAAAAACAUUGACUUGAAUCAUUGCCACAGGAAUUCCAUUUCCUUCGUUAUAUGUUUCCAACAAGUAGGAAUCAUCAGGAAGUAACUUAAAUAUUGUUUUGGUAUCAGGAUGUCCAAGAAUGUCUGACAGAAAACUGCUGACCUUGGCCUCAGUGUAAGAAACACCGUCGUCGUUGCAAUCUAUGUAAAGGUCAUCCUUGAUUUUUCCGGCAAAUGGGUAAAAAGAAGUUAAGGCUUGUGAUAGAGAGUGUUUUAGCCGUUGUAAUCUUGCAGGAAUGACAGGUUGAUCGAUUGGCCUAUAAAAAAAGAUGAUGGGAACGUGUGCAGAAGGCAUAAGCUGGUCUAGAAGAGAAAGCUUGUAAGUUCUCAAGUGACUAGGGGUCAGAGAAGGUGGUUUGAUACUUUCUCUGGAAAAGACUUCAAUCUCCAUCUUUCAAGUACACUAAGCUUAUCAUGCGUUCAUGGCUGCUAUUUAAAACCUAAAAGCAAGUACAUUGGAGCACUACGUCGAUAACUAGGAACAGGAUAACCUAAAAACAUGAGACGGUUCUUGUUAUAUUCUCCAUUCCAAUUUAUAUAUUUUGUCUAGUUAAAACACUCAUUCUCGAGGCUAACAGCUCAUUACAAGACAAUUAAGGGCCUUUUAAAAAAAAUAAUAAUAAAAAAUAAAAAACAUUCAAACUUGGGAAGAUCGUCGUUUCUUGUCUACGCCGCGACAUUGUAAUGGGGAAAGUUGCCUCAUCCAUCUGCCACCUUUUUUUCUGUCAAUUCACAAAUAGUAAUCCAAUAAUAAUAAUUAAAAAAAACAAUAUAUAAUGUCAAAGAGCAGACAUGUCCCCGAUGGUCAUGUAUCCACAUGGAGAUUUCAUAAGUGCAAGUUAAAAAUGAAAAUUUGUUGAAGUCACAGCUUCUAUCAAUUUCUUGGAGCUCCAGCCAAUCGAGAGGACAUUGUACAUUUGGGUUUUCAAUCCUUUCGCUAUCGCCUCAAUUGCACCUUCGUGGGAUAAACAAGUGUACUUUUGAAUAACAAGUUUCACAACAGAUUAGUUCAAGAUUAAUCAUGUUCUCCAUCUCAAAACCAAAACGAGAAGAAACACGAUUCAUUAUUUCCUAAACUUGAAUCUUUUCAUUAGCGAGAAUUUGAGAUAACAUAUCAAGAAUCUAGACCCAAUUUAAAUAUCAGAACGUGCUAUUCUACCAACAAUCCUCAAUAAGUAAGUCAAUAUACUAUAGAAAGAGCAGAAUACAAAAACACGUACUUUCUGGUAGUUUAGUUCUGCAAUUAGCCUUUUGCUGCUUUCAUGGAUGAGAACAAAAAUGUCCGCCAGCUUCAUCGCAUAAUCAAUCCAGCAGUAGAUUAUUGUGCUCUACCAAUGUCAUAACGUAUAUUUUUGGUACUUCCAUGCAUGCAAGUGAUUAAAUGUUUUCUCCGGGAGGUAACUCUGCAAGCUUUGAUGGUGUACCAAGCACUCUUUCCAUAUCAAAUCGAACUUCAAUGUAGCGAAUGCUGUAUCCAACCACCAUUAGCCAAUAAAGCAGUUUGGCAAGUUCUGCUGCACUGGUCUCUGUUAUGCUUGUCUGUGACCAGAAAUGAAGUUUGAAAAACAUACAAAACUGAAAUUUAUUUCAACAAACAUUAAGUUCAAAAACAAGAACAAGUGCAGUUACUUGCAUCAACCCUUUAAAAAAAGCUCGAUGCAUAAAACUUUCCAAUUAACAUCCAGGUGUUGCAAAACUUUCAAAUCAUAAAUCCUUGUUAAUAAAUUCAGACAGGGGUAGAAAAAGGCAGGAGGGAUGAAAAGGGAGCAAAAAAGUUCAAUGUAUCAAGUUCGCAAACAAGAUUGUUUUAAAGGUCAACAAAAUCCAAAGAAGUUCAUCACUCUCCAUCUAAAUAUGAAGAUAUUACCUAAUUGAUACUAUGAACACAGAUUAACACAUCUUUCAAUCUAACCAAAAGAUAUGACUUGUGUCUUUGACAAAUGCAUACUGUGUAAUUUGCAUAACCCUCAUAAUCAUAGUUUUGAAAUGUCUUACUGAACUAUGUGAGUUCAUUCUUUGACUUAUUGUUUUGCACUAUCAUCAAAGAAGUUGUCUUCUCUGAAUCAUAUCAUGCUCUUAAUAAUGUAAAACUGACAGGUAAAUUAAGCACUAUGCUAGGCAAAAAGCAUUUUAAAUAUUCAAAUUCUCUGGCGGAUUAAACAUCCAAUCCAUUUAGCUAUAUUUUAAAGUAUAAUACAGUCAAAUUAAAAACCUAACCACCAAUAAUCCAACAAACAGUUAACAAAGCUUAUGUGGUUCAAUAAAAAAGCAAACCUUCAUUUGUUCCAGAUCUGCAACAGCUAAAAGUCGCUUAAUAAAGGUGUUCAUUGCAAGAAUAACAUCCUCUCCAGCACUACUCGUCAACUCCUAAAGAAUCAUAAACAUGAAUUUGAAGUCAGAAUGAGCAAAUCAAGGUAAAUGUUACGCCAUUCAACCCAGCAAAAGGAACAAGAAACAAAGAGGUUAUUGAAAGUAAAGAUUAUAGCAGACCCAUUUCCCAUAAAAUUUUGACUUGGAAAAAGAAUUUAUAUUUCAAAUAUUAAGUUUGAUGCUUUGAAAAUCAUAAAUAGAUGUUCUUACAUACGGCAAGAACAGUGAAUAACAAUUGUAACCCAGAAUGAUUAUGUUAGAACCAUCUUAGUUACGACAUCUGUUAUUGCAAUUGAAAACAAACACAAUUUAAAAAGGAAAAAAGGUGAUAACCAUCUAUACCUUCAGAUUUUGGGGCUCGAGAGACUUGAGGUACUCCAACAACUCAUUCUGCCCAUCCGCAGAUUUUCUACCAACUUGGCGAUUGAGUUCCUCAAUCUCUGCUUCAAGUAACUCAAUGUACUUCUAAGCAUCUAUUUUCUCAGGACCACAAACAUUAUUCCACCUGAUAACUUCACCAGACACGUUCUUCUGCGUACCAGGAGCAUAAUCUGGCACAUUCUGUAACAGUUGUAGCGUCUAAUUAUGUAAUGCAAAAAUAAAGUGAAAAACAAAAACACCUAAACCUCCUGCUACAAACUCAGCAAUGUAAAUGCAGCUUAAAAUAGAAAAAUAAAUGAACAAAAUAUCAGACUAUCCAUCAAAACCAAUUGUAUAAGUAGUAUGUGCAUGAAGAUGAAGUUGUCAACCAUACCAAUCACCUUAGUAGUGACGUGUCAAGAAUUAACAACCUUAAAAGAAAGAAGUUACCUUCUCAUCUUGUGCCUCAGGAAGAGCAACUUGCUCCAAACUCUGUUGCAAUUCCAAGCGAUAUUGUGCAUUCUUAAACAUAUAACCAGUCAUCAUAACACUGUACAUGAGCUGUGCAAGAUUUUCAGCUACCUAAAACAAAUAAUCAAGCUGAUUUUAGUUAACCAAAAAUGCAAACUUAUUGUCUCUCCGUAUCAGCAAGUCCACAGAUAUCAAAUAAACUUACAGUGGUAACUGUUACAGCAAAAAAUUGUGGGGGUAAUGUUCCAAUCAUAUUUGUCACUGUCUGCCGCAUUGCAAGGCGUGUCAAACCUAGCACGCCCAUGACAAUUCUAGGCGGGAGUGACAGAAGCAAGCACGCCCCGCCUGUGCUUGGUGGCACGCCCGUGCCUCAGGGAUUCAUCAGGGUGUGCUUGCCUAGCACACCCCGUGCUUCACUAGCCAGACUUCCAGACUAAAGCACGCCCAUCCCGUGCACAAAGGCACGCCCGUGCUGCGCAGAACAGAAUUAGCGUGAACUAAAUACGCAAAUCCAUCUUUUUCUCACAUGGGCCGCCUCGGAGAGUUUAAACAUACUAAACAAGACCUAGACCUAUUUUGGGAGAGAAAGGAGUCCUAAUCAAGAAGAAAUCAAAAGCCUAAACAGUCAUGAUCUCCUAUAAAAGAUUUUGCACCAAAUAAGGAUUCUAUUUCCUAAAAGGAGUCAGACUUACCUUCAGGAGCUCUAUAUAAAGAAGGGAACUUCUCAUUGCUAGGGAUCUCGUUUUUUUAUGCAACUCUCUACGUAAUUCUCUUCCUCUUAAGACCUUAAGCAUCCAAGUUUUGUGCCAAGAAUCAAGGAAGCCAUCUAUAUAGCUGUGAUACAGUUUUUAUUUCUAAACUCUUCUUUUUUUUUUCUUUUCAUUAUUGUCUUAAGUAUGAUGAAUGAUUUAAACAUGAAUGAGUUUUAUUUAAUUACUAUGUCUAGCUAAACUUUUAUACUAGGGAUUUGAUGUAACUUAAUUCAAUUCCAGUUUAUGACAUAAGAUUAUUUUUCAUUGUUCUUGUUAUAACUUAUUAUUGUGCUUAAAGCUUCCGGGCAGAAAAUUUCCUCUGAAUUGAGUUAUUUCAAUAAUCGCUAUCGGGAGAAGGAUUAUUGAUAUGAAAAAAGAUAAUAAUUUACUUGAAAAUAAUAACUUGACGCAGAAGCUAUAUGGUUUGACUCAAAGGGGGGUUUUCAUAAUUUAAUAAUUAGUAGGUUAUGGACUCACAAAACAACCACAAAACCUAAGGAUCUGAUUUAAAUUUGAUUACGUGUCAAGAAUUAACAACCUUAAAAGAAAGAAGUUACCUUCUCAUCUUGUGCCUCAGGAAGAGCAACUUGCUCCAAACUCUGUUGCAAUUCCAAGCGAUAUUGUGCAUUCUUAAACAUAUAACCAGUCAUCAUAACACUGUACAUGAGCUGUGCAAGAUUUUCAGCUACCUAAAACAAAUAAUCAAGCUGAUUUUAGUUAACCAAAAAUGCAAACUUAUUGUCUCUCCGUAUCAGCAAGUCCACAGAUAUCAAAUAAACUUACAGUGGUAACUGUUACAGCAAAAAAUUGUGGGGGUAAUGUUCCAAUCAUAUUUGUCACUGUCUGCCGCAUUGCUUCAACGACCUAAACAAAUGAUUUAUGAGAUAGAUGUUUCAUACCCAAUUUUCCACCAAGACCACUAUAGCAUGGACAUAUCGGCCUCCUCUGACAAUUUAAGUUAAACUACACAAUAGUAACCUAUGAAAGCAAAUGAAAUGGUGCCAAAAGGGGGAAUUUUGAAGACCUGCUGUGGUGCCCUUUUCACAAAUAGCUCCAUGAAUUCUGGCUGCACAUUUUUUACAUACUCCAAUAGAAUCUCUCUCCUGGUCUUUGACUGCAAAUCCCAAAGAGGUGAUUCAAAAACAGUAUUCAAACAUAUUAAUAGUAUAGCAAUCAAAGAACAGUAGUCGAUUAAAAUUCUCCACUCAAAACGUCCUAAUACUUGUAUGGAAACCUUAUCCUGUUCAAUUAUAUUAAAAAGAAGAAGAAAUUCACUUUUUGUUAAAAUUGCUCUCCAGUUAAACAGUAGAACAUGUUUCUUUAACUCUGGAAGAUAAAUGGAAUGCAAUUCUUGAGAACUCCAUCUCGUUUAGCAUUCAAAGAUUCCAGUUCUCCAAGAUGUUUCUAUAUCUGAAUCAAUUAAAGUUAGUGAAAACAGACUCUAAAAAUUUUGUUUACUAUUACUCAAAUUAUCAUUCAUUUUGUUUAAUUACCUAAAGAAAUAAAAUUAGAACGGAAUGUCUAAAUGACUCCAUUUCCAAAGCCAAACGUGCCUUGACCUCUUUCAUAUAUUCCAUUGACCAGUGACUAUCGCGAUUACCAACAUUGCAUACUCCUUUUCUAUUACCAAUCAAAACAUAUAAAUAUAAUUCAAGACCUACACAGAACCAUAAAGCACAAACAAAACAAACCAUCAAUUAAAUCACAAAUAUGCAUAUAAAUACUGAUAAAAGUGAUAAAGAAAAGAUAAAACAGCAAACAUACCAGAGUGCCAUUGGGUGGUUUGGAAUCACCAGAGUUAUUCGCAGAAUCAUCCUUGGAAGAAUCAUAAGCUCUGACUCUCAAGGCUAAUCUUCCUUCAGUGAGAUCCUUCGUCCUUCUUGGAAAGCUUACUGUAUGUCGACCAGGUACAAGAAUAAUAAAAUUAGAGGAGGAAGAAGAUAAUUUAGGUACAAAAAGGCUGGGUUUCACAGUCAACGAGUUCAUCUGAGCUAACAUGAUUUCCAGUAAAUUUUUUCACAGUACCAAUUUUUGAAAUUAAAUAGCUCUAAUGCUAUUUUAUAUUCUCGCCAUUAACCCUAGUGAAGUGAACUUCAGGCGGAUGACAGUACAGGACCGUCUUGCGAUGUGAAGACUUCCCAGAGAUGAGGAUUUGUUUGGCGAAAGAGUUCAGUUCCACCGUAUAGCUGUGGGUUGGUUCUAGACGAUUAUCGUAUUUUUGCAAUCGGGUGGUUAAGAUUGCUUUGCUCGCUACAUCUAGUUUUAAGUAACCGUUUAUUCUGUUAACAGCAUGGGAACCAUUAAAAUGCAGCUGUUCAGCCAUUCGGCUAACUCACACCAAGGCGUGAGUGGCUUAGGGCCCAGCAAAUGAGGGAAGUUUCAAGUUAGUAUUGUGCCUGAGCGGCUGAGCAGCCGCUCGACUAUUCAGUUUAUGUUUCAAUUUGAUAUUUUCCGCCCACACUUUCUAUUACGUAAAACUUCUAUCCCAUAAAAUAGAUUUAUUUCUAUUUUUAUACAAAUUAAAAAAAUAAUAAUAGUAUUAAUUUUUUUUCUUAUAUUUUUAUAUUGAUAGUCAAUGUCAUUUUUAAUAAAAAAAACUGUGCAAAUAUUAAUAGAAAUUAAUAAUUUAGUUCAUAUUUUUAGAAAAGAAAAUUACAAAAAUUAUCGCAUUUUGAAAAGGAAAAUACGAUUGUAAUUAUAGAUUAAAAAACAAGAGAGUGCAUUUUCUAUUGGAGAAAUGAAAUAAUAAAGUAUUUUUUAAAAAAAUUAUGGGUACAGAAAAUUAAAUAGGAGUUUCACUAAAAUUAUUUAUAAAUUUGUUAUCAAACUUAUUCUAUUUUAAUUCAACUUAAUAAUUAACUGAAAAAUUGUUAUUAUUAUAUAUAUAUAUAUUUUUUUCCAAAUCUUUAAAAAAUGUCUUUCCAUUUUGAUCACGCGGUAUUAUGGAAAAGAAAAACUCCUUUUUCGUAAUAUUAAUAAAGGGAAGAUAUUGAAAGAGACUGCUCUUUUAUUUGCUAAAAGGGAAAAUAACAAAACAUAACACAUGUAUUGGACAGUUUGGCCGAGUGGUCUAAGGCGCCAGAUUUAGGCUCUGGUCCGAAAGGGCGUGGGUUCAAACCCCACAGCUGUCAUAUAACGAUUUUCGUGCUUUUUUAACACCUUAAAUUAUAUCUGGGGACCUGUUGUAGUGCAAAAUCACUGAUCAAAUUGAACCGAUAGGCUCUAGUCUGGAGGGUGUGGGUUUGGGUUUCAAUCCCACAGCUGUCAUAAAAUAUAUUUGGGUAUGUAGUGCAAAACCCAAACCGGCAGUAUGAUCGAGUGGUCUGAUGGACCAGAUUUAAGUUCUAGUCCAAACUAACAAUUGAAUCGAACUAAUCUGUUUUGGUUCAGUCAAUUAGUCAAAAAAGAUUUGAUUUAUUGAUUGGAACCAAAUUUGUUAUUUGGUUCGAAUCAAUUUUAUAAAAAAAUAUUAAUUAGAUUUAAAAUCGAACUAAAAUAAUAAAAAUUGAUCAAAUUAAAUGAUUCAAAUCGAUUCAAUUCAGUUUGAUCGGUGGUGUUGCGUCUUAUAAUGGCAUGGGAUACUUGCAAACCGAAUGAAGCACUUGCAACUCGGAAGCAUUUUUUUUUUCGAAUUAAAUAUUAAAUAUUGACCCCUAUGUUCUCAGCGUCAGCCCUCUAAUGCAUGUCAGCCCUCUAAUGCAUCUCUGCGUCUGUCAAUAGAGUAGUCCAAAGGUCACGUGAUCUUCUCCUUACAAAAUAAAAUAAAAAAUAAUGUCAUCCUCUCGAAAUUUCAACACGACGUCACCGUAUUUCCGACAUAAUGGGCUUCUAAUGAUAAUAUGCGCAUCAGUCAUUAACUAAACACAAUUUGCGUACCAUUACAAUUUACACAGCUUACAUAAUCAAAUUAGUCGUCCAAUACCAAGUUCAAAAUCAAAUUUUGAUUUUAAAAAAGAAAGUGAAAAAUAAAAUCUUCAUAGAGGAAAAAAAAAAAAAACACGUCAUUUGUAAUAAUCAAAUUAGGAGAGAGAUCCCAUUAAAAAAAAAAAUUUCCUUUUGUCUUAUAAAGGGUACAGUUAGUAAUUUUUUGAAAUUAUAAACUAUUUUUCUUUUGUAAAAUUACAAUUAAGUUCUUAAUUUUUUUUAUAUAUUUUCAUUAAAUAUGUAUCGUUAUUAAUAAAUUUUGCGUUUAAUUUUUUUAUUGAAAUUGACUAUAAUAUAAUACAGGGUAUAUAAAAUUAAUUGUUUAAAAUAUAUCACUCAGUACUAUUUUUCAAUAUUAGCUUUUUGGCAAUCAGUUGCUCGUUAAUUAUUCUAGUCGAUCAAUUAUUCUAUUAGUGUUGAGUUCUUUGACCUCGAAACAGUAUUGCCAUGUUGGAAAAUAACCUUUCAUUCAAAAUUUAUUAGUGUUUUAACUUCAAAGCAUUAUCCCAAUUAUUAUUAUGUUGGACCAAUUAAUAACAGCUUUUAAGGUGUCAUUCAUAUUUAAAUUAAGAACUAUUUUGUAUAUAAAAAAGAAAAGGUCAAAAGCAUUCACGUGUUACGCACGUGACUGGAACAUUAUCGGUGCCGGCGACAACCAAGAGAGGCCAAUCUGUCACUGAGAUGGAAUCUAGCUGAAAGGAAAUUAAAAAAUAGAUUUUUUUUUAUUAUUAUUAUAUAAAAAUAGGUAACAUUACAUCGGCCGUGGGUAGGUAAUUUAUACCCUUUCAACAGCGAAAACUGACUGAGCCAGCUCACAAUUACUGGUUACAGGUCUCUUUUCGUUUUUAUUUGGCGGUUCACCGUGUCUUCCAUCCACUCUUUCCUAUUUUUCUCUCUGCGCCAAAAACCCAUCUGAUACAAAAUCGCUAACUCAACGUCCUUGUCGUUUAUCACUUUUUUAAACUACGCCGGUUCUCCCUCCACUAAACAAUGGAGUCUUAACAGAACCAGAUCCAUUUUGGCUCUAACUCCUCUCCCUCUAACUAUACCCUCUCCCUCUACCUAUACAGGGAUAUACUUCAGAGGGAGAGAAGUGCUAGUUCUCCUGACCUUCACCAAAACCAGAAAUGGCUUUUCCUAGGCGCCGUCAUCAUUAUUACAACCGCUUCCGUACUUUGGUUCCAUUGAUAUCUGCUGUUUCCGGAGUUCUUCUCGUUCUAUUUGGUCUCAUCUCUAUUCUCGCCCCGUCUCCCAUAGAUUCCGAUAGCUUUGGCAACCGUCGCCCGCAUGACUCUUCGGUGCUCACAUUCCCUCUAUCACGCGCUCUUCGCAUACACUUAUAUCAAUAGAAACAUAUCUGUGCAUAUCAAAUUUCAGAUGCCUUCCUGUUUACUCAUCUUAUUUUUCUCAUUUUUAUUCAGUUAGCUGUCGAGGCUGAUGUUGCUAUUGGAGAACCAGUUUUCCGUGUCCCGGUUAGGGUUUCUUUUCCUUCAAUUAUUUUUAAAAUUGAAUUUGUUACUGUACAGGUACUUCCGUUGGAGCUAUUCGAGAUUUUCCGUUGGAUCGGGACUUGGCUUAUUUUUCUUUUGUCUUGUUUUAUGCAUUAGAGGGGCGGAGGGAGACUGGGUCAUGAUAUUUGGACAUCAAGAAAUUCCAAAUUCUUCUAUGGAUGCAGUAAUGCUAGCAAGAAUUUUGCAAGUGUGUAUAUCUCUUUACAAUUGUUUUCACGUUUCUUUGUUUAUGUUUUUUAUCCUGCUUAAAGAAAUUGUAACGAAGUUCACUCUUACAGUAAAUAGCAUUAGGGAUUGAAUCAGUUUUUUGAGCUGAACUUCGUCAAUCAUGCUGCAGAUGCUGACACUAUAACACAACAUGAUCGUUAUCUGCUGAUUGCUACAAGUGGAGGCUUGAAUCAACAAAGGACUGGGGUACCUUUUUGGGCUACCAUUUUGUACAUUUGUGUUCUUGGUGUUUUCCCCUUACCAGUUUGAUUGGUGCGCCAGACCCUUGAAACAAUUCUUUUUUCUUUUUUUUUUUUUUUUUACUUUGUCCCAAUUCCAGUAAAAACAUUACAUGCAUACAAAAGCAUUCGUUUCGGAGAAACUGUAUGGUUUUUUGUCGUCUCAACAUGCCAUUCAGGAACUCAGAACUGGAGUAAUUUUACAUGUAUUUGUUUGUUGAAAGCAAACAUAUAUGAUUAAGUAUGAUUUCACUUUACUAUGAAUGGAUUGCACGAUUUAGUAUCUCAAUCAUUGCAAUUAUGGUGGCUGUAACAUUGGGUCUGGUGGUGUCUUACCUAGAGAUGUAUUUUAUUUUACUAGGAUGUUUGGACCAUGUUGUGCUGCUACUCUGCUGCAUCCUGAAUAUAAAUCUACAAGUCAUUUGAUCAGUUUCCCAUUUGGUAAAAGGUUUCAUUUCACACUUUUGCAGAUUACUGAUGCUGUUGUUGCUGCCCGUAUUCUAAAUGCUACUCUUGUUAUUCCGAAGCUGGACCAGAAAUCCUUUUGGAAGGAUGCAAGGUUUGUAAUGACAUGACAAUGACUGUGACUAUUUUGCAAGUUGAUUUCUUCAAUAUUGUAUAAGUGCUCAAAUAUUAGAAAAGAACAAGUGUUUGAAAUGUGAAUUAUAAUAUGAAAGAGAACUAUUAUUUUACUUUGUUCUGUGCAGUAAUUUUGCUGAGAUUUUUGAUGUUGAUUGGUUCAUAUCUUCUCUAUCAAAUGAUGUCAAAAUCAUAAAAAGCCUUCCGAAAAGGGGAGGGAAAACUUGGACUCCACGAAAUAUGCGUGUUCCGAGGAAGUGUAGUGAGAGAUGCUAUCAAAAUCGUGUGUUACCCGUUCUUUUGAAAAGGCAUGUAAGUUCUUGGUUCUCCACAACCCUUUUUCCUUACUUCAUCACACUAUAAACUUGGUUAUGUUUUAUUGCCAGGAUUGUAUCCUAUAUUUCUAUUGCCUGCCUCUAUCAUUAUUUGUAUCUAAAUCAUGUUAUACCUAUUUGUAGGCAUCAACAGAGGUUUGUUUGUUUAUCUUUCAAUCUCAUUUGCCGAGUUGGUUGUCUUGUCUUGCCAAUGUGACCAUUAGGUCCAGUUUAGAAUGCAUCCAUGCAGUGAUUAAAAUGUUCAUUGGCGGAGGAAACUUGUUUCAGAUGGUGGAUGAAAUGUUUGAUAAGGAAAAUACAUGUGAAGCCCUUAAUGUAGAACUAUAUUAAAUGUUAAUGCUACAUUUAAUGGAAUUCAUUCUUAACUCUAUUAUUUGAUUGGUUUAAGAUUCUGCUGUUGGCCAUUAUGGGUUUUAAGACUACAUUUGUGAUGAAACAUAUCUUAUCACAUCGACUGGAAUCACAUACAAGCUAUCUCUUGCUUUGACAUUACAACUGUACUACAAUCAUUGUUUUUCCUUGGCUCUUUGUUUAUAUUGCUAUUUGUAUGCACCUUGUAAUUCAGAAUACUGUCAUUUGAAAAUCUUAGAUGGCUUUAAUUAAUCAAUUAUAGUUGGUGUUAUUAAUGAUUAGCUUAUUAUUUUAAAAAUGACAUUGUUAGUUUUGAUUCUGUGACAGGCAAUUCAGCUCACCAAAUUUGAUUACAGGCUCGCAAACAAAUUGGACACGCAAUUGCAAAAAUUGAGAUGUAGAGUUAACUAUCACGCUUUGAAGUUUACUGAUUCUAUUCUUGAAAUGGGCAAAACAUUAGUACACAGGAUGAAGAUGAAAAGCAAGCACUACAUUGCCUUGCACCUGAGGUAUUCUCAUUGAGUUUCAUAAAAGCUGUUGGAUUCUUAGUGACCUUCAUCAAUUAGUAAUGACAACUUCAUCUUGUUUUGUUAUGCUGUAUUUAUUGGACCACGGGCCUAACCGUCAAGUAUUUUCACAACCUGUCAAUUGAUUAUCCCCAUCUUUUAUGCAUUUUUCUCACUGCUAGACAUCCUUGCUUGUCAAUGUGUUUUUAUCAAUAAUUUAAAAUAAAGUAUGGAAUCAUGUUGAUAUGCACAUAAAACCCCCCUGUUCACAUAUGAAUAUGAUUGAACGACUUUCAGAUGAUAUGGACAUAUUUUAAACCCUAUGAUUCUUGCAUGCUCAGGGAGGGGACUUGUAGCAUCAUUUUUGUUUGAUUUGACAGUUAAAAUCAUAAAUAUAGGGUGAUGACCUAAUAAGAGAGCAUGACGACCCGGAAUUUCUGGGUUGAUAUGAUGCACCAUAUAGAAGAUUAGGUUCAUAUUUAAGCUGCUGACUCUACAUUCAAGAAACUAUAAUUUAGUUUUGAUGAUCAUUGUAUGAUUUUUUAAUGCAAUUAAAUAUUUCUUGCCGCAGGUUUGAGCCUGAUAUGUUGGCAUUCUCCGGAUGCUAUUACGGCGGAGGUGAUCAGGAAAGAGAAGAACUGGGUGCCAUAAGGAGGAGGUGGAAAACUUUACAUGUAAGGUUCAAGUGACUGACUCCUGUCAAAUUAAACUAACAUAAACAUUGAAUUUAAAUUUUUGAAGAAAGAAGAAUGGAGACCUACAUGUCAAGCAUUAACUGUAGGUUUAAUUUGGAAAUUCCCUAUGAUAUCUAUAAUAUGUGUGGAUUUGUAAAUAUUUGUUGAUUGCAAGUUCUUAUGUCUGAAUAAGUUCAAUAUUCAUCACAGGUUGAUUAGCAAUCUCGUAACAUCUGCUAUAUUUUUAUUUAUAAUAUAACGAGUCUUGUAGUAAAGAGGAUUUGCUUCACAUCUUUCCUGAAUAAUUUUAGAUUCUGUUGAUUUGAUUUUGUUUGGAAUAGAUGAAACAGUAUGAGAUUUAUUUUUAAUAUAUCUGCAGAUGAAAAACCCUGAAAAGGAAAGAAGACAUGGAAAAUGCCCUCUCACUCCAAAGGAAGUUGGUCUGAUGUUGAGAGCACUGGGUUAUGGCAGUGAUGUUCAUAUUUAUGUUGCCUCUGGAGAAGUAUACAGAAGCAAAGAAACAUUGGCUCCCCUAAAAGCACUCUUCCCAAACUUCUAUACGAAAGAGACUCUAGCCAGCAAGCAAGAGUUGGAACGAUUUUCUUCUUUUUCUUCCCGAAUGGCUGCACUAGACUUUAUUGUUUGUGAUGAAAGUGAUGUCUUUGUUACUAAUAACAAUGGUAAUAUGGCUAGAAUAUUAGCUGGAAGGAGGUAACUGAUCUCUCAUUUUCUAUUCUUUAUUCUUCAGUUACUUGUUUCAGGUGCCUAAUUUUCAUUGUUUCCUUAAACUGUAGGAAAUAUUUUGGACAUAAACCUACCAUUCGUCCAAAUGCUAAAAAAUUGUACCGAUUGUUCUUGAACGAAGGUAACAUGACAUGGGAUGUGUUUGCUUCUAAAGUGCGUAGUUACCAGCGGGGCUUCAUGGGGGAGCCAAAGGAGGUUAGACCAGGCAGAGGAGAGUUCCAUGAGAACCCCCACACCUGCAUCUGUGAAGAUUCUGAGGCCAAAGCAAAGAAAGAUUCAGGACCUAGAAAGUAUGGGAAGGGUUAUAAUGCAACAGUAGAAGAUAACACAAAUGAUGAUCCAAAUAUUGACGAUGAACUAGAAUUGCCUGAACCCGACAAUGAUGGGGAUCAAGAAGGCCCGCCAGAGGAAGUUCCAUUUGAUGGCUCAGGUUUUGAUUACGACGGAUUCGACUCUGAGGAACCUGAAUUGGAAGAAAUUGUCUCCGAUUGAACUUCUUUGGGUUUAUGACACAUGCAAGAUGCAAGACAUUCCUUUCAAAAAUUCCAUUCCAUUCCUUGUGUUCGGCAUGUCACCAGUGUUGUUAAUCUUCUAUUUAUCUAUGGAGCAUCAGCGAGGUAAGGGUCUCUUAGUUGAAAAUAUCUCUCAGUCAGCCUUCCGUCUCUUUUGCUGUGGAAUUCGGGGAAAUGGAUAUGAGACCCAGACUUUUGGAAUUGAGCUUUAUGAAACUGCUUGUUGAGCUGCUGAUGGGAACAUUUAUUAGACAUCUUUGUAAAAAAAAGGAGAGGAUAGAUAGAAGGGCAGAGUUGAAACAAGAAAUUAAAGAGAGAAGGGUUAAAAGGGAAAGAAUUAUCAUAAUUGAAAGUAAAUUUUGAAGAUUUUUCCACGUUGUCUUAGCCUUUUAGGUAUGAAGGAGAAAUUAUUAUGCUCGCGCGAAGGUAAGUUCACCCAGUAAACUGCAAAUGCAAAUACAAAUCAAUUCAAUUAUUUCCAAGGAAUUCAAAAUUCAAAACUCAUUUUUAAAGAACUGACGAUUUUAUUAUUAGAUUUCAUGAAAUUCACAACUCAGAACUUAUUUUUAGCGAACUAUAAAUUUUAUCACUCUAUGUUCAACGGUUAAAGAAUCAAUUGAAAUCCACAGUAGCAAGAGGCCUGAGCCCUGAUGUGGUGUGGGCCUUUCUUAACUCAUCCACGGCGCUUAAUAAAAAUCGCUGAUAAUAGAAUCAACUAAAUCAAAAUGCUAUUAUUAAUUUUAGGAAUAAAAUAAAAUAAAAUAACUUUCUUACAGUUACAGAAACGAAAACGAAAACGAAAACGAAAAAUCUACUGAGGAGAAGACAUCAAAUUAGUGCCAUUUAGCAUGGAGAGUUAGGUAGAUUGUGGUAUCAGGCAGUCGAGAAAAAUGCCAGGAGGAUCGUCAGGCAUAGGAUAUGGUCUCAAAUAUCAGGUCAAAAUGCAAAACCCUAAGUUACUACUUUUCAUAAUCCUUAUAUACCUUUGUACAAUCAUAAUAUUACUUCUUUUUGAUUCUAAAUCCAUCUCAAUCUUGUCUAGGCUAGAUGCAUAUCAGAUGUUAAAGCAGACACAGAUCAUACCAGCUUCAUCACUGGCACUCUCAGUCUUAGAGAAGAAAAUGAGGUAUACUCUGUUUUUUUUUUCUUUGAUUAGUUGGAAUGGAAGUGAUUGCUUAAUUUAUUAACCAUUCGAUCUAAUAUAUUGAAUUAAACUCUGAUGCUCAGGUGCAUUUGAUUCGGCUAUCUUCAGGUGGAACUGAGCUCAUAUGCGAGGGCCUGUUUUCGCAUCCUAAUGAGAUCUGGGACCUCUCUUCGUGUCCCUUUGAUCAACGCAUCUUCUCCACUGUCUUUUCUACUGGUACCUAAUUCAUGCUUAACUGGUUAUAUUUGCUCUUAUUCUUUUAUUCAUUCUUUUACGCUCAGUGUAAUUUGUUUGUAGUUGUAGUUUUCUGGCUCGAGUUGCUUGAUUGCUUUUAAUUAAGCUGCAUUAAAUGUUCGAUACUAUGUUAACCUGUUAAGUUGCACAAUUGAAGUUCAAUAUUAACAUUUCUUCAUAAUAUGAUGUUUUCAGCAUUAUCAAAGUAUGAUCAUUAAACCCUUUUAGUUGCUUUUUGGUUUUCAGUGAAUUAAUUGCUUAUUAGAAAAAUUAAAAUUUCUGCUGGACAAUAUUUUUUUGCUUUCUAACAAUUUUUACAAAACCAUGAGCAAUUCCAAUCUGUUGAGUUUUCUUGUUAAUAUUGAAGGCGAGUCAUAUGGAGCAGCAGUAUGGCAGAUCCCUGAGUUAUAUGGUCAGUUAAAUUCACCUCAAUUGGAAAAAAUUGCCUCCCUCGAUUCACACUCUGGAAAGAUUAAUUGGUAAGUUUGUAUAUUCUUCUCGUAGUAGUCAAUGCCAAUGCAUCCAGUUCUCAAACAGUGGAAGUGGUGACUUAUCUUUGUUAUUUGAAAGGUCUGAUUUAGCUAAAAUUAUCAAAAAUGAAGAGAUCCUUUUAGGGAUAACUGAAAACUAAAUCUACCUAUUCUGAAUUUUCUGAAAUAUUAUAUUUAGUAUCAUCAGAAAGAUUUGGUUCUCAUCCAAUAUUGUCUUAUAAUCUUUAUUUGUGCAGCUUUCACAUGAUGUUUCUUUUUAGCCUAUUGAAUUUUAUAUGUUAUGCUUUAUUUGUAUGGAACUUUGGCUCACUAAUUUCAUUUGGGUAUCAAACAGCAUUUUGUGGUGGCCAUCAGGGAGAAAUGAUAAGCUGAUCAGCAUUGACGAGGAGAAUAUUUUCUUGUGGAGUUUAGACUGUUCUAGAAAAGCUGCCCAGGUAGAGGUUCAGAAUAAGAUACUGGCAUAAUGACAUUUGUGGUGUCUGUUUGUGGUACAAAACAUAAAUUGCUCGCGAAUUCAUUUUUUUGCUCAUGUCUCUUGAGUAAAACUUACAAAACUAAAAGAUUAAUAUGAUAAAUAUUUGUAGAAUAAUAUGUGGAAAGAAAAUUGAUAGAAGACAUUAGUUUGCAACUUUGGACUGCAUAUGAAGUUCAGUUGUAAAAAUAUGUGUUUGUCUUUGUCAAUACCUUGGAAUCUAUGCUGAUACUUAUUCAGAUGUUUACUGCAAAAUCUAGGUGCAUUCUAAGGAGUCAGCUGGUAUGUUGCAUUACUUAUCUGGUGGGGCAUGGGACCCACAUGAUGUGAAUGCUAUUGCAGCAACUUGUGAAUCCGCAAUCCAGUUUUGGGAUCUAAGAACAAUGAAGUAUCAUAUCUUGCCUAAAUUUCUUCCCUCUUCUUCUUUUGUUGGGAGGUGCUCGCAUUAGUUCUUUUGUAGGAUUAUUUUUAUAACAUUAUUUUUAUACUUACAGGAAGACAAAUUCAAUUGAUUGUGCCCACUUGCGCAAUGUUGAUUAUAACACCAAGAAGAAGCAUGUUCUUGUAAGAGUUUAGCUCUGUUUAGCAAUAUGCAUGCUUGCUGAACUAAAAUUUAAAUUCAUUGUGAAGUUAAUUAUUCACUUUGUUCCAUUUACCCAUAUGUCUUUAGUAAUUCCUGUUGGAUGUUAUAAGUUGUGCUUUGAGUUGAUCCUACUUCUUAGCAUUAUGAAAUUAAUUAUUGCAGGUUACUGCAGAGGAGGAAUCUGGGGUUCGUAUAUGGGACCUUAGAAUGCCAAAGGUUCCUAUUGAAGAACUUCCUGGACAUGCUCACUGGUAUUCAAUUUGUACUCCGUUACAUUCUGAAUCUCUGAUUAAUUUCUGGCCAUUUUCACUGUUGAUGAACCAUUUAUUUUAUGUUUCUAUGUGCAUUUAUUAAGUUCUUUUGCGUAAAUUUGUAUCUUCAGUUGGUUCAUUUCUAGUGCCUGUAGAUUACUCAUAUUAAGGUAUAGUUGUCUCAUUGUGUCUAUAAUUGUUUUCAGGUCUUGGGCUAUUGCAUGUAACCCAGAGUACGGCGGGCUGAUUCUGGUCUCUUCCUUACUCUCCUCUAUCAAAUAAAGAUUUUACUAUUAUAUUUCUACUUAACAUUAAUCUGCUUUUUUAAUCAAAAAAAAAAAGUUCUGCUUCCAAAGAGGAUCUUUGCUUUUAAAUUGUCAGUAUAAUUGAUGGAAAGGUUGGAAUAUUCAUAAAUCAUAAAUUGUUCAAAAAGCAUCUUUUGCAUUUCUAUGAGCUAAUUUGCUUUUACAAAGGGACCAUUUGUAGGCAACAGGGAGUGCCAAAAAAACAAAAAAAAAAUAAAAAUGGUAGCAAUUCUCAAUGCUCCUUGGUCAUGCUACAGUCUAAGGGUGGUAGUACAAUACAAUCAAGUAGUGUUGAUUUUUUGGGUCUAGGUUUGACUUGGGUCAUUCACCAUCAUCAUCUGAUUUAGGAAGGGAAAAUAUCCUUCCGGCAUUAAUCUAUGGAUGGCGUUGACAAUUGAAGUAACAAUGUUUUGUGUUCUUUCUACCUAUGGUAUGUAUUUACAGUUUCCUGACCAUGAUUAAGCUUUUGCAGAGUGGGGGCACAGACUCGACUGUAAACUUGUGGUUAGCUUCAACAUUGACUGGUGAUGAGAGGGCAUCUGAAAGGUCUUUUUCUUGGCUUUAUCCCGGAAUUUUGUUAUGACUUCCUACUUCAUUCUCUUAUGUCAUUUAUGUUUUUGUUUUUGCCAGCUUGGUUGACUCACCAACUCGGCAAGUUGAUCCAUUGCUUUAUUCAUACAGUGAUUUCGAAGACAGUGUUUAUGGUAACCAGUCUAGCCAUCUGGUUUUUAUUCACUGUAAAUUUUGAUUUAAUUCUGAUGCAUUUUAACUGUGAUUAUAGGUCUUGCUUGGAGUUCUCGUGAGCCUUGGGUUUUUGCAUCUUUAUCUUAUGAUGGAAGGGUAAGUCCCCUUUAUAUUUUAUAACAGGGAGAAAUAACAGUAGUGAAGUUCUAUUUUUCUUCCUGCGGGGAUAAUAGUUGAAACUGCAUGGAUCGACAUACCCUUUUCUUGCAAGCACGUGUAUAGACAUGCAUUGUCUAGUCUGGAUUCUUGCAACACAUUGCACAAUUUUUAUUUUAAGAAACCUAUUAUAGCAAACACAAGAAGUUUUCAUUUGUUGCAGGUAGUUGUAGAAUCAGUCAAGCCUUUCCUCUCAAAAAAGUGAAGCCAAUGUAGAUUGGCCUCAUGGUGGAACUCUCAUUUUGUUUUUCCAUCCCUAUAAACCAUUCUGAAGAACCAUAUCGUAGAUAUGAAUUUGGAUGGGCUACCAUUUGGCUCAACAAGGAUGCAGCAUUUCAAGCUUUAUUCUUGCUUUAGGAAUGGAUUUCAAGGAAGCAAAUUGAUUAGUAGCUGCACACAACAAUAUUCUUUUGAUUUUAGGGAAGUUACUACCAUUGUCGAUUUACAAUUAUAGAUGACUCGGUUUCAUUUUAACUUUGUUUGUGUUAUUGUUUUGGACAAAAUAUAAAUAAGAUGAUCGGAGUUUGUUUUUCGAUUUCAUUUUUUUUUUCUUUUUUAAGAGACAGAGAAUCAAUGCAGAAUACCUAAAAAGACAUUCCUGCUGCAGUGAGAAUCCAAUAAACAAAUUUUUAAAUGUGUUUUCUUUUUAUCAUUAUUUGUUGUCUGCUUGGAGUAUAAAUUGAAAUUUUUAUUUACAUAAAAAAUUGGUUUAUAUGGAAAUAUAGAAUUAUUAUUUAUAAUCCUUUAAUAAAAUUUAUAAGUGGACUCUUUAUUUUUUAAAUUCUAUAUUUAUUUAUUUUAUUGCGUUCAAUUAAACGUGAUUUUCCAAUGUCAUGGGCUGAUGAACAGGGGAUGGCUGGACAUGGCCAUAAGUUUAGCUUUGAAUGCUGGUCUGGGUAGACAUUUCUUGCAUUAUUCUCUUCUUGAGGUUGUGGGAUUUUUAAUUAUGUCCAUAGCCAUCCAAUAAAAGAAAUUGUUUCUUCUCCUCCCAAAUGGAUUGUACGUUUCACCUGAUAAUAUGUAGACAGAUGGGGAUUUAAACGUGCUUUUCAAUUCAUUACCCAUACAAGUGGCUGCUAUUGAUCCUUUGAUGGAAAUUUUGUUACGAUCACGUACUUUGUUAUGUUUGGUGACGGUCAUAAUUUGAAGUGACAUUAAGCUUAUCCAAAAACGGAACAUCAUGACUCAUGACUAGGAUAAAUUGAUUUUGAUUUCCUCGUCCAACACACAGAGCCAAGUUUUUUUUCCACAAUCCUCUGAUAAUGACACGUGCACACAUCCUCUGCCACGUAUUCCCUGACAGCGAGCCGCCACGUUUCCAGCUUAUCCGUAACCAGGUUUUCAUGGUAAGCAGGCAACUUUCCAUGUCACCAAGCCACCAUGUACCGACACGUGGAACAAAAGCACAGGGAGAAGAGGAUUCACAAUUUGGAAAACGUGUGAGGGAGGAAAACAAAGGCAAAAUAAAACGGAUUUUGAGUUAUUUGGAUAAAAACCCAGUGGAUAAGGAAUUAAAAUAAAAUAAAAAAAAACAUAUGGUAAAACUAAUUAAUAGAGGCUUAUGUACGGAAGAUUAUAUACAAAAACUUCGUAACAGAAAUUUAGCUAACUUUAAAUUUUAAAUACGACAUCUUCCUUUAGCAUGUAACUCUUUUUAAAAUUUAUUUCAUAGAUUUUCCACCUUGUCUCUUUGUUAUUCAUAUUAAAUAUAUAUAUAUUUUUAAAAAAUAAUUUGUUAGACAGUCAUUUUAAAAUAGCAACUUAAUCUAGUAUUUCUCUUUUGAGCUAUUGAGAAUAUCAAUUAUUUCUGUUAUCACUCGCAAUAUUUGCAUCGCAUGACAAAUUAGGAGAUAAAUAAAUUAACUUAAUUAUUAUUAAUAAUUUAUUUUAUGGAUUAUAUUAAUUAAUAUACAUCCAAAAAUUCCAAAUAAUACCAUCCCCACCCACCAAUCUCCCUUAAAAGGCCAAGGAACAUGACGGCUAAAUUUUUGACACGUGGCACAACCACAAAAGUAUAACGGAUACAAAACGCAGAGUGGGUCCUCUUUGCUCACGUGUAUGAUUAAAUCCCGGAUUCGCAGCAAUGGCCGAUAUCUCACACCGAUCUGCUCUCACACCCACCGCAUCUCUUUCUCUCCCCCGCUCUCUCUCUCUCUCUAUCUCUCUCGCUCUCACUCUCUGUCAAUCCAAUGUCUCACCGCAAAGAUUCUCCCGAUUCUCUAUCCUCCAUUUCCAUUGGCCUUUUUUCUCUCUUAACAAUAUAUUUCUAAAUUUUGAAACUCUCCAAGUCUCCUUCUCUCUCAAGUCUCUGCACUUCAAAACCACCCCUACUUAUUCCGUACGUUUCACUAUCCAACAACCUCUUUUCUUUUAAACCUUCGUUUAUUGGCUAGGGUUUUUCCAUGGCAUUUUUGUAAUUUUUGUUCUCAAUGGCAGCGAGUUCCAGUGGUUUGUCCACUCAGCUUCAUUUCAAGCUCACUCGGCUUCUCAUCUCUCCCGUUCAUAGUACUGUUUAUGGAUUGCAGCUAAGGAAGAAGAAGAGGAGGACCUUGGUCAACCGAGUGGAGGCCAGUCGAAUCAGUUGCUGCUGCUCGGAUUCUGUGGUUCCGAUUCGGAGGACCGGCGGGGCGAGUAAGAGUUCGGAGAAAAUUGAUGAGAAGACCUCCCAUAGGGUCCGUGCUAAAGCCAUUCCAGCAUUGCCUUUUGCUUCUUCACAGUAUGAUACCGUUUUUAGUUUCUUUUUAUUUCAGUAUUUCUCUUUUGUGAAUUCUUUACUGAUUUUUGAUUUUCUGGAUUUUACUUAAUAGGUAGUAUUCAUCACCUAUUCUUUACUGUGAUCGAUUCCUUCAGAAUACGAAAAAUUUUAUGAUCGAUCUUCAACUUUAUUCUGCAUAUUAAGAUAGGAUUGGCAAGAUGAAAAUAGGACUGCUAAUUAAGCAAAUUACAUUCCGCAGUUUAGAUUAUAUGUGUUGAGGAAAUGAUGUUAAGAAGAUUUUUCAAGUUUCCAGUUGAUUACGUAUUGGUGGAAUUAUGUGUUUGUUGUUGACACAGUGAUAGAGAUGCUUAUGAAUCUUCUAUUACUGAAUAAUUUGAAUUUUUAACUUCCAUCAGCUUUCCUUUAUCUGAUGGGGCACGAGGCACGCGCAUUUCAAUCUAUUACUUCAGUGGCAUUACCUCUCAGAAUUUAUGAUGUUGCUUUGCUUUGUUGACUAUUUUAGGUCUCGUUUUGUUUCAAAACAAGAAAAGUUUUCUCCUCGUUGUACCCCAAGAAGUUCUGGUCCACAGUCCAGAGACACUCCACCAAAAAGAGGUAAACCUACAAUUCUUGGUUAUGUUAUUUUCUUAUUCGGAUAAUGCCAUAGUCCUGUUAAAUUUAUGAUGAUAGCCUCCCACAUAGGCUUUUGCUUGUGUAAUUACAUCUAAAAGUUUCUGAUUCAAUGGCAUGGCUAAAUGAUGUUAUCUUCACUUGUUUCCUCAAUGCAGACACUGGUAUUGCAAAUGAAAAGGACUGGGGCAUCAGCUUGUUGAAUGAAAAUGUCAAUGAAUCUGGUACCAACGAAGAUGGUAGUACUUGGUACAGGGAAAGUGGAGAGGACCUGGGUGAAAAUGGGUACAGAUGUAGAUGGACGAGAAUGGGUGGACGAUCACAUGAUGGUACCUCAGAAUGGAAAGAAACGGUAUAAAAUCAUUUUGGUCAUAUUAUUUGGAUGUUUGAGUAUAAGUGAUGCUGGAGCUGAGCAAACCAAAUGAAAUUUUUGAAAAUUAAUAUAGAUAAUGGAAAUUCCAAUCAAUCAGCAAAAUCAUCCUUCUCAUUAUGAAGAAAAGCAACUUGCUGUAUUCAAGAUUCUAUUCAUGUUGUUCCUCUGCAAUAUUAGUUUUACCUCGAUUGUCAUCCUUAGCAAUGACAAUUUCCAGAAUCCAUCAAAUAAUUCCUUUUUAAAUAAGAUUACAGCAUUUUUUUUAUUAAUCAUCCACUUCAGUUAGAAAAGUUGUUGGCUAUGAUAUUGUCCUUUCUCCCCUUUUGUCCAUCAUUCAGUUGCAGUGCACUAUAGUAUCUAGUAGUUGUGCUUUGAUUCAAUAUUUGUACCCCUUAUUAAUAAAUGAAAGCCUUAGAGGUAUGCUAACAUAUUUAUUAAGAUUUGAGGCUGUGGUGGAGGGGGUUCCAAAGAAAAAGAGAGAAAAAAAAAAAGCCUUCUUCCAUCUUUUUCUGGUAGGGUUGAUUAAAAAGGUGAUGUCCUGGCAAGUUUUUGAAAAUAACAUCCUGGUGCUAAUAGACAUAUAUGAAUUUUUUUCUUUUCUCAAACUAGCUACAUUGGCAUUGUUUUUAUAACUCUAUUAAGCAUCAUCCCAGGUGGAUGCAUUUAAUUCGAUUUCUUGAUCUCCUUGACAGUGGUGGGAGAAAAGUGACUGGUCUGGAUACAAAGAGCUAGGUAAAUUGCUUUUCUUAAUGCAAUUGGAUUGAUUGAUCUUAAUUCUAUUGAAGUACUUACCUUCAUUCUGAGUUUUUAUUUCAUAGGCGUGGAGAAAUCUGGAAGGAAUUCUGAAGGGGAUUCAUGGUGGGAAACAUGGCAAGAGGUGCUUCAUCAAGAUGAAUGGAGGUCUGCUAUGUGACAAUGGUUAUUUAUUUCAAUAAAAUUUAAAGCCUUACCAUGAAAUACAUUUCACUUUACCAUUGUUGUACUUUGCGUUGGUAAAUUGCUGCCAUGUUUUCAUUGCAGUAACCUGGCUAGGAUAGAGAGGAGUGCACAGAAACAAGCAAAAUCAGGGACUGAAAAUGCUGGAUGGUAUGAGAAAUGGUAAGCUGAUAGUAAAAUGCACAACUGUAUGAUAAAUACAACUAUUCUAUUUGGUAUGCAAUUUGCUAAUACAACAUAUAUAUUAAUAAUGAAUCACCAAUUUUGGACUUAGGUGGGAGAAAUAUGAUGCUAAAGGUUGGACUGAGAAGGGGGCACACAAGUACGGCAGACUAAACGAGCAGUCCUGGUGGGAGAAGUGGGGAGAGCAUUAUGAUGGAAGAGGAUCUGUUCUCAAAUGGUUUUCUCAAAUUAUCAUUAUAUCUUCUGUUGGAUUUCGAUCUGCAUGCUUCAAUAUGAUUGACUAUAGAAAAAAGAUGCAUAUCAUCAGAAAUUGUGAUUUUGCUUUAUUCAAUAAUAUCUGACUUACAUUGCACGUAAUACUGGCGAUAGCCCACAGUGAAUAUGGGAAAAUUAGGAUUUUAGAAGGUGAAGUAUGUCGGUACAUAUAGGAACAGAGAUUCUGAUGAAUAAACUGAUGUAAUAUUCAAGGCAAUUUCAUAACAAAAUGCCUUGAAAAUGCAUUGUGGGGAAAUUAUAAAUAGUCUAAAAUUUGAAAACUUCUACCGUUUAUUUUGCGAUUUUUUCUUCUUGUCAUUUAUCUGUACUCAGGACUUCCCAACUCGAAAAAUUUUUAAGUAGUUUUCACUCUGUUUUUUUAUUUUUUUCACAUCCCAGGACAGAUAAAUGGGCUGAGACUGAAUUAGGAACUAAAUGGGGUGACAAGUGGGAAGAGAAGUUCUUUGCUGGUAUAGGUUCUCGGCAGGGCGAGACAUGGCACGUUUCCCCAAGUGGUGAACGUAAGUGUAACCUAUUUUUUGUGUGGGGAUACCUUGUUUCCUUUAUGCAUGUGCCAGAAUAAGCAUAUUACAAAUAAGUAUCUUUAGCUUUGACUUAAUGUAUAAACGAAUAACAGUAAGCUUGAGUUUUGCUGACUGUAACUAUAAGAAACAAAUUAAAAGAUUGCAUGGCUCAGAGUCUUAUAGCCAUGCUUAUGUUCGCUAUCCUUUUUCUGGUGACUACAUUCAUCCAUUUGCAUGAGAUAUGCUAAUCCCAUUGGGAAAGGACUUCCUUGCCCUGUUGUUUGCCAAUGUUUACAAUUACUUUGGUUAUUGCUCUUUGUUGCUAAUUCUUGGUAUUUAUGGUUUAUUAAUAUGGGGUAUUUAACUUAUAUGGCUAACUAUCAGCGCACCUUGUUGGGCUUCAUUUUUUAUUCCUGCAUUAUUUAGUGUCGACUUGGUAUUGCAUUUGAAAUUGCAAUUUUGUAAAAGCAUGCUUUUAGAUGUUCCUGUAAAACAUAGCUCGAAACUAUUUUAGUUACUUUGAAGUUUAUAACCAAAGCUUUGUGGGAAACAGAAACUUUUGCCCAGAUUUUCAUGUUCUUGCCUAAAAGAUCAAUUUAUUUACAUAGUCUUCAGUUAAUUGUGAUGUUCAUGUUUGGCACUUUAUUUGUGUCAUUUAAUGAAGUUUAUAUACUAAAACUCUUAAAUUUUUCUUGUCCUAGGUUGGUCAAGGACAUGGGGGGAAGAACAUUUUGGAAAUGGGUAUGGAACUUUAUCCGUCAACAUAAUUUAUCUAUCAAAAGAAUUUAUGUUCCAUUUUAUGAUAAAAUUAGUCUCUCUUCUUUUGUACCUCUGUAAUCAAAGGUUGGUAUAUGCUACAUGCUGUAUUAAUAUGCCUUCUUAAUCUGUCCAGUAAAGUUCAUAAAUAUGGAAAGAGCACAACAGGUGAAAGCUGGGAUAUUGUUGUAGAUGAGGAAACCUAUUACGAGUAAGAAUAUUCUUCUCUUAGUCUGUAGAAUUGCAACUGUAGUUUGAUGAUGUUAUAAUAUGAUUUGACUUAAACUGACACGGUCCACUUUUGAUCAAGGGCUGAACCUCAUUAUGGAUGGGCUGAUGUUGUGGGUGAUUCAUCUCAAUUGCUAUCAAUUAAACCUCGGGAGAGACCCCCUGGAGUCUUCCCAAAUCUCGAUUUUGGUUCAUCUCCACCAUCUUUGCCUGAUGAUGACGACUCAGACUUGCCUCCCCCAUCUUCAGAUUGAAGGCUCUAUAUAUUUUGCUUUAGGUGGUUUUAUUUUAAAAUCUCAUCUAAAUCCAGAAUGCUACCAACUAUUGUAAUGGGAUAUUGCUUAGUUUCCAUUUGUUCAUUCUUUGGAUGGUAAAUACAUCAUCCAUUUCAUGCUGUGCAAGUAUUGAACAUAACCUUAAAUUUUAAAAUUAAUUUUGCUAGCCAUUGUCCUGACUAUGGAAGUAGUAUUAAUGGCUUAUUAGGUGGCUGUUGGUAAUACUUCCAGAAAUUUUUUUUUUCUUCUAAUUUGACAGCUCCAUCUUGCACGUUGGUUCAACAAAUUCAUCUAAGGUGGUUGGCUUUAUUUUCAUUCAAUUUACCUAUUUAUUUUGUCCUGAUUUUUUAACCAAAAUUUUUGGUGACGACUGAUUGAAUGCGAUGUCAUAUGCAUAAUUGGCGGUAUUUCCGUUUUGAAAUUUCCACAAAUCAAAAACCAUGACCAUUUCCUUCCCAGUUCGUACCCUGAAGUGGACCUGGUCUCUAAGAAAUUUCCCAAAGCUUUUAUUUUUUCUCUUUUGUCGUUUGCGAAAUUGUUUUGACUUCGUUUUCCCAAUUUGGAAUUUGCGAUAAAGACUUGGUAUGAUCUAAAAUUUUUAAAAUUAAUGAGAGGACCGAGGACAAAGAAGAAGACUUGUCUCACUGAGGAAUUAAAUACAGAGAGGCAGUUCUUUUAAUAUGUUAUUGUUAAGGUAAUUUGUAAAGGAAACGUGGUUAAAUAAUAACAGCUGGAAAAAAUGAAGAAUAUACCGUUUUUUUUUUAUUUCUAAUAAUAACGCUUCGCUGGUGCCAACGCCGGAUAUAUAAGAUUUUAUAUUCUUUUUUUAAAAAAUAAAAUAAAAUAAAUUCCAUCAAGAUUUUUAAAGCAUAUUUGUACUGGACAACUUAUCAAAGAACAGAAUCCAGUGCAUCCGGAUCCAGCACACCAAAUUGUUACUGUCUAUAUAUAAAGAGGAAAACAAGCGUAGGGUCAGUUUCAUUUCCCAAUCGUAAUAAUACGAAAUCAAAAAAUUCAGCACAAUGCUGGUUGGCUACAUCAUAUCAUCUGCAUGAUGAUAAUGAUAAUGUUAACUUCUUUAUAAAGCAAUUAUCUAAAAAGGAAAAAUCUUCCAAAAACCAUACAAUUUCACAUGAUCUUUACUCACACAAAAAGGCCGUGCCAUCUUCUCCGGCACUCAAGACCCACUCCUCCUCCGCCAAAACUCUGUUUCUGGUGAUUUGUUCUUCCAUCAGAGCAAGAACAAGAAGUAGAAGAAGAUAACGAGAUGCUGAAGAGUAAACAAGAGACUUCCUCCAUGUAUAUGUUGAAACGGUUUUCGGAUCUCGAUUGGAGAUUUUUAUUCCUGAUUAUUCCUCCUCUCUCUCUCCUCGUUUUUUUCUCUAUAUCUGCUGCACCUGUCAGUCCUUUUUCCACUUUCGCCCCUCUGGCCUCCCUUUUCUUCAACAGGAACGCAAAUUCAACGGAUAAUCUAACUCUGUUGCCGGAGAAUCGGAAUGAGCCGGUGAAGGUUAGGUCAUGGAAAGAUGAAGUGGAACUGUCAAGAAUGGCGGUGUGUUUGGUUGGUGGGGCCAGAAGAUUUGAGCUCACUGGUCCGUCGAUUGUGGAGAAUAUUCUCAAGGUGUAUCCAAAUUCGGACCUCUUUUUACACAGUCCCUUAGACCAAAAUGCCUACAAGUUCUCGCUCCUGAAGGUCGCACCGAGAAUAGCCGCCGUUCGCAUCUUCAAGCCCAAACCCAUACCCGAAACCGAAUCUGAAGUCCGAGUCCUCACCGCCGCGAAUUCUCCAAAUGGAAUCCAGGUUUUUAUUUUAUUUUCUUAAUUCUUAAUUUCAAUUGUUUAUUUAUGUAUCAAUUUUCAAGAUGAAAUUUCUUUGUUGAUUUUGACUCCUAUUUGCUUUUCUGGUAUGAACAAAUAGGUAAAACAAUAUUAGUCAUAAAUAAGCAUGACUUGUUAAAAUCGAAACUCUUUUUUUUUUUUUUCGUUUCAUUUCAUUUAUCGUUUUCUAAUGGCUGCAAAUAGAGUAAAGAAAUUAUUUAGUUUUCAAAUUAUACUAAUUUAUGAUUAUUUUUCCAUUUUUCCAUUUCUGUUACAAAAAUGUUGGUUGAAACGCAGUUCUCCAUAUCUUUCUUUCCAUUCCCUGGCAAAAUCACUGGAAAUUCAAAAUGCUUUUAAUAAUUGCUAAACGAAAGUUUGGUGACGCAUAUACGUUUCUUAACCUUUUUUGCCAACAUGAUUUUGAAUUUUCCCCAAUAAUAGCCCUUUUUGUGGUAAGCUCCUGGCUCGUUCGAUUCGGGGGCCCGACCCAACCAAAACCGCAUCUGACCAUUCAUAGUCAAAAAAAUUAUCGACAGUUUUAAUGCAAGUCAAAUAAUAGGAUCAUAAAUUAUUAUUUUGCAGGGACUAUUGCAGUACUUUACUCUCGUAGAAGGAUGUCUAACGAUGAUAGAGGACUACGAAAACCAGAAUAUUUUCAAAUAUGACUGGAUAAUCCGUACCCGAGUUGAUGGUUACUGGAACGCCCCACUGGACCCGCAAAACUUCAUCCCCGGUCAGUAUUUGGUCCCGUCAGGCUCCAACUACGGAGGCCUCAAUGACCGUCUCGGUAUUGGAGAUUUGAACGUUUCAACGAUAGCCCUCUCCCGUCUCUCUCUCAUUCCCAAACUCGAUUCAUCUGGGUUUCGCUUGCUCAACUCGGAAACUUCCUUCAAAGCGCAGCUCACCACAAACGGCGUACCUUUUGUCGCCAAACGCCUCCCUUUCUGCAUUGUGUCGGACCGCCAGUACGAUUUCCCGCCAAACCGGUUUGGUGUGCCCGUGGCGGCAUUGUCUAGCCCUGGUCCGCUAAGUGGGGCUAAGUGCAGGCCGUGCAAGCCAGUAUGUGAAGGGAGCUGCGUUGCUCGUGCAAUGCAAUGGCUUGAUAAAGGUUGGAGCUGGACUGAUUGGGAAAGUGGGUCACUGAAGCUAUGCGAUGCUCACGGUGAAUGGGAGGAAGGGUGGGAGAACAUGUUUGACAAAGCGGCGGGGAAAAAACGAGCCGCGGUGAGGAAGCGGAUUGCUGGUUUGAAAUUCAAGCAAUGUGUUGAUGAUUUCAAUGAAAUGAGGAGACAGACUGCUAAGUGGGACAGUCCGCCUCCGGAGGAAAUAUGCAGAUUGGGCAUUGGGGAGCCUUAAAAGAGUUAUUUGUGUUGUUAAGAGGAAGACUGUAAAAAAAACAAACUACGUUUAUUUUUUUUCCGGUUUCGGGGUUUAUUUUUAGGUGAUUUUUAUUUUUUGCUUCAUUUAUAAGUAGAUGAGAUUAUAGAUAUAAUGACACUCUUGUAAUUUUUUUUUUUUUAAAUUCUUACUAAGAAUUCUAACACAAGUAGUUAUAUAAUGUUAUUAUUGUCCAAUUGAUGCCAUCUAAUCUUGGACAGUUAGGUGUAAUAGUGAACAGCAACCAAACCUACCAUACUCGAUUCCAAUUGGAUUGCAAAUUUCAAUUCUCUUCACGAUUUCAAUACAAAGCAAAUCCUAGCAUUUAUUUUUGCAAUUUGGGCUUAAUGGGUCCAUCCCAAAUCCAAGUCUAACUCAGUACCUAAUACAAUAACCAUCCAUAUGUAUAUUAAGUAUACAGGGUCCAGUAAUCACAUUAGGCUACGUUUUAAAGAUUAGAAACAGUACAAAGAAGAAGCAGCACCAGCACAAAAACACUAUACAUGAACGCGAACUCGGUCACUGAAUGUAAGAUUGACCAGUGAUAUCAAGAUCUCGAUCACCGGUAGAAGGUGGCGGUUUGUGCUUGGGUUCGGCGGUGGACUUCUCCGCCGGUCCGUCAGCACUCUGUGUGUCGCUAGCGGGUUUCUUGUUCUGUUUUUGCGGUUGUUCUCGUUCCGCUUCAUUAGCAUACAUUCCACCACCGUAGGCUUCACGGGUCACUGGUUUCAUAGGUGAAAUUUGCUGUGGGUGAUUCAACGUCCCCUCCCUCUCCUGCUUCUCUCGAUCCUUCUCCAUUGUUUCUCAGCUUUUGCCAUCCAAUUCCGUUUGCUCAUUUUAUUUAUCCAUCUUUAGUCUGAUGUAUAUUGCUUAAUUGACGACACGUGUGUCGUUAGUAAUCGUGUGGCAAAUAGAUGUGCUGCCACGUUGCAUAUAGUAUUCCUUUCCUUUUCAUUUUUCAUUUUUUUAAUGUUUAAUUUUUGGUCUUUAUCCAGUCCAUGGGUCUAUAGUGAGGUUUGGGCCGGGCUAUAAUGUUUUAACUUCUUUGUGUUCUAUGAAGCCAAGGCCCAUCCUUGUAUGAAUCCCUAAAAUCUAAAACAAAAUUAAAGGAAUUGAAAAACAUAUUUUGACAAGAAAGUCAAAUUCUCUCAUUCUCUUUCAAGCAAUUUCCAGCCAAUCCCUAUUCUUUUCCCCAUACAACCUACCCCUAGCAACGUGCACAUGUUGUCAAUAUUUAUAAAACUAACCAAAAUUUUAUUUUCUAUGAUUAAUUCUUGAUUUCUUUUUUUUUUUUUUAUAAUCGGCCAUAAAGUGUAAAGAUUCUUUUUAUAAUUUAUAUUCUCGUCCUGCAGAAGUUUGAUGUCGCUUGUUAUCUCAACCAACAUUGUGUUGGUCGGAUAAUGAUUAUUUUAAUUCUUUAUAAAUAUGUAAAUUGACAUUUUUGAAACGAACUCGUAAUUGAAUAAAAUACAAUCCACUUUCUUCGAUCAUUUUCUAGUUUAUCAAUUUAUUCAAAUUUUACUUUUAAUACAAAGUUUUAAAAAAAAAUUUAUAUCCCUUUUCUACUAUAUUAAGACUCAAAUCCCAAAUCUGCUACCCUUUUCAGAAAUGUAAUUUCUUUUUUUGUCAAAUUUCUAAGAUGAAGUUUUUUUAUAUAGUUAAUUAAGAAAAACGUAACGAAUAUCAUAUGGUCGAUAAGGGCAUAUGGGAACCGGUUAAGCAUUACUAACAUAUUAUAUAUAUGGAAAUGAGGAGCAUGUUCUUAGGGACAAAGAACCAGAACCAGAAAGGAAUAAAACGUGAACUGCAGGUCUUUUUGUUAAUAUAAAAAAAAAAAAAAAAGAAAAGAGUUUCAGUUAAGAUGCCUACUAAUCAUCUUCCACAUGGAAUGAGUCAAUAGAUACCAAUGCAUGGGUGUAUAAUAUUAUCCUCCAAUAGCAAACACUAACGUGGAUUAAUUCUUUCCAAUACUGAUAAAAGGAAGGUACAAGUACAUAUAUUAUAAUUUCAUUUCAUGUAUGCUACUGUCAAUGCCAUUUCAUCAUCUUCUCCAAAAUCUCGUCUCUAAACAGAGGAUGUUAGGAAGGUUUUGAGGACAAACUUAUCUGUCAUGUCAUGUCUGAGCUACUGUCAAGUAAUUAAAUUAGCGUGUGCUGUGCUUUUCAUGCAAUGGAAUCGCAGAACUAACAUGCAAUUGUUUUGGUUGAAUGAGAGUGACCUUCAACUGUCAGAAACAUUGCAUAUAUCUAAGCUUGGAAGCUCAAUAAUGCCGUUUUGCUUUACUCGAUGGCCAUUAAACAAUUUUCUAAUUAAUUUGAUGGGUGCUAAUCAUUCUCUCCUAUCACCAUAAUUUUUUUCCCCUUAAUUAAUUAAGUUGGUUUCCGAUCCAAAAUUCUUGGAGCUCCAGCAUACGUAUACGGUUAUGCAUGUUAAAUUUUCUUUUUGGUCGUAAAAAUUUUAAAAUUUUCAGUGCCUUGGAAAUUAAACUUAUAUUCUUAUAUUCAGCAGUUUAGUCCUCUUACCACCCAUUCAGCAUUUUGUUGGCUAAAAUCUAUUUAUUUUAAUGACAUUGUAGAAGCUAGCUACUUGAAAUAAUUGGAUCCAGAUCAUUUUAUUCUAAGCUGUAACCAUUAAUUGGAAAGAUUUCAUAAGGUGGUGAAAUCUUGUUGAAGCUCCAAGCUCCGCGUAAAAUUAUUGUUAGCAAUCGUAGCCAAUACACAGAUCUUCUUCGAGUUGCUAACUCAGUCAGUUUAGGGUUCGAAGGAGAUCUGCAAUUUAAGGAUCCACGUGAGUUCGACCCACAUGCCUUGAUAACUGAAAACCACCGAAUACCAAUUUUGUAUUUGAGGACCCAAAAACUAUCCGUGACCCUGUUGAAUCAUUAGUUAGGUACAUUACAACGCCAAGUCACAAGCUAUAUGAAUAACGCGUUAUUGAACAACUUGUUCAGAAUUUUUUAAAUCUUGGAGGUAAAAGUUAUUUUUUAACAAUUGUUUGAAGAAAGAAAAAGAAAAGAACGCUAAUCUUAUUUCGUCUCCUCUCCAGUUGAACCACAUGGAAAGAGCGAAGAGUCAUACAUGGAAAGAGGGCCCCAGAAUGAAAGAAAGCCAGCGUGUCAAAACCACAUGUGUCUCCUCUCCAGUUGAACCGCCUUGGGUCUGCAAACUCUAACCCCCCACUUGGGUUAACGAACAGUAACAGCUGUAUUUAUUCCCGGAUCCAGUCUCCCUCCUCUCCUGCACCUUUAUAUACUCUUUUUCUUCUCCUCUCCUCUUCACUCCAAUUGCUUUCUUCAAACAAACUAACAUUUCUUGAAACAAUUCCUUCAUAUACAGUAAUGGUCGGCGUUUUCAAGCGUUCUCUUUCCUUUCCUAACAAACUCCCCAAUCGCCCUCUAUCUAAACCGCCCCUUUCUCACCAUAUUAGAUCCAUCAGUCUUCCUUGCAGGUCUCACCCUUUAAUUUCCCAAAUCAGAGACGAAAUCAAUCAGCUUAGAAUUUGGUCUUCUAAAUCUGAGAAUCGAACGUCCUCCUGGCUCUGCGACGGCCUUACCCGCCUUAAAUAUGUCCAUGAUUCCCUUGACGAUAUCCUCCAGCUUCCUCAAACUCAGGAAGCUCUUCGCCGCCAACCAAAAUGGGUAGAGAAUCUUCUGGAAGAUUUUCUACGAUUUGUUGACGUUUAUGGGAUCUUCCAAACUUCAGUUUUGGGUUUGAAAGAAGAGCAAUUUGCUGCUCAAGUAGCUACAAGGAAGAGAGACGAUUCAAAAAUUGCUCUUUAUAUCAAAUCUCGCAAUAAAAUGGCUAAAGAGAUGUCUAAACUCGCCUGCACUAUUCGAAAUAUCUCGCAAUGCUCGAUUCCUGCUGGAUUGGAUAAAUUGUCUAUUACUGAAGCAGAGAUAGUUGGUGUUAUAAGAGAUGUUAUUGAAGUGACAGUGUCCGUUUCAGUAGCGCUUUUCAAUGGAAUCUCCUUAUCAUUUGCUUCAAGAAAAUCGUCGUGGAUGGCACUGAGGUUGCCUAAAAGAGCAAAGAAAGCGAAAAUCGAGGAAGAAAUUGAAGAAUUUAAACAAGUAGAUAGAGAGAGCUUGUGGGGAUUGAGGAAGAAGGGAGAUGAAGAAGUGAGAAUUGUGUUGAAGAGAAUGCAAGAUUUGGAAAUGUGUAUUUGCGGCAUUGAAAGUGGAGGCGAGAAAGUGUUUCGGAGUUUGAUUAACACAAGAGUUUCAUUACUCAAUAUAUAGACUAUAGUAUUCUUUUUGCUUGCACUGUUUUAAGGGUUUUGUCCAAUAUGGAAGAACAGUGUCCAAAUUUGAACAGAUAUCUAAUAGUACUGUAUAGUGUUGAUCUUGUCAAUCCAAUGUUUGAAUAUAUAUAUAUCCGGCAAAACUUUGUUCAUACCUGCAUCUGCAUGUGCCUGUCUAUAACAAUGUAGAACACGAGUGACUCUUUAUAAUAUUUAAUUUGUUUCUUACAUUGAUGGAAUUGGGUAAUAUAUAAAAAGCGAUGAAAAACUUAUGUACACUUGUAUACAGACUCACUCAUAUGCUAAACCAUUUAAUUGAUUCAGUGGACACCACACAUACUGUAAAAUAGCUCAUCAAUCAUGAAAUGGGUGUUUAAUCUAUUACCCAUCAAUCGCAAACCGUGAUUCUAAAUUUAAACAUCUGAAAAAUACAAUUAAAAUUUAUCUGGAAAUGUAGUUCACUGCUUUGUUUAUCCCAUCUUCCCUUAAUAACCAUUAAUUGCAUAGCAUCCACUGCAAAAAAAAUUAUAAAAUAGCAUGACUCUCAAAAAACAUGAAUCUCGUUAUACAAGAAGACUCUUGCAAUAAAGAAUUUGAUAAUAGUGUAUGUAUAUUAAUGCGAAGUUGCCAAUUCAAAUUUAGAUGUUAACUGACAAAAAAAAAGGAAAAACGGAAUGGAAUAAUAAUUAUUUGACACCAAACUAUAAAAUAUUAAAACAAAUUGAUAAGAAAAUACAUGUUGAUCAAAUUAAUUAUGCAAUUUCAAGAAAUUUUCUAUUUAAGGAGAUAUAUAAAGUUUAUAUAUAUAUAUAUAUAUAUAUAUAUGAUUAAAUUACAAGAAUCAAAUUAACACAAGAGGGGGAGCAGGUUGUUGGCCAUAAUAACAAUUGCAGCUUAGCUUAGGCAAAUUAACAAGCACAUGGUAUGUAUCAGUACAUAUUAAUUUAAAAUUUGGUUUUUUUGCUGGAAAGUAAUGUACCCAAUAAUUAAAAUUAAAUCAACAUAUAUAUAAGAUUUUUGGUAGGAGAUAAUAUGGAGGGAUUAAUUAAGAGACAAAACCAUAUAAUGCUUCCUAUGAUUGGCAUUAUUGCUUCCUUCUUCUCUCAACUUGCUCUCAAACAUAUUCUCCACCGCCAUUGACAACCUCAUUCAGCUAAAAAUUAAAUUAUUUGAAAGCCAAGCAGUGGACCCUUUUAGCAUUUAACGUUCCAAUCUUUAUAUAUAUUUUCCAUACUGUAAUGUAAUCUUAAAAAUAUAAAUUAAUACAUGUACGAGUCCAUCAUUAAUAAAGCAAAUAGUUGAAAUUUCAUUUAUUGGAGGAUCUAUCAUCUAUAUAUAUUUUUCCUAUAAGCCUAUAACUGGCUUUUUAACUUGUUUAGGAACUUAUCGUUGGCAUUGUGUGUGUAUAUAUAUAUGUAUAAUACAAAAUAUAUCCUUAUUUGCCUCGUGCAACUAUGCAAGUUCUAUAUUUGAUUCCUUUCCGAUCCUCUCAUCUUGUUCUUUACUUUUGCUAUUUCUUUCCCCUUUUUUAAAUUUCUGUGACUUCUGGUAGGGAUUUAAAAAGAGAGUGAAAAAGUAAUUUAAUUACAUAUAUGUCUAAUUAUAUGUGCCAAAUUAGUAAAUUCAAAUUGUUGUAUUUGAAUCCAGUCCUCAGCUCCUACAGAUCGCAACUUUUGAGUAUCGCUACAGAUGCAUGGACUUGAAUCUUGAUUAUCCAGCCAUGACCAACCCAUUACAUUUUCCAUUCUUGAAAAAGAUGCAAUAUUCAUUGUAUGGGCCGGCCAAUAGAAUCUUUAAAUUACGUUCAGCAAAUUAAAACCAAAUGUUUGAACCCGAUAUAAGAGCUGACAACCCCACAUCCAAAGUUUCUCUCCUCAAAACUAGUUCCUUUGGAAGGCCUUUCAUGUUCCUUGUACGACGUCUGCUGAUGAUAUUAUUCGUAAAAUUAUUGAAACUCACUGCCAUGAGUUAUGCUUUUUAGUUUGCAGAUUGAUUGCUUGGACCACAGAGAUGGAAGGAAGUUAUUGGACCACUCCACCUAAUCUAGCUACAGAUAAUAGAAUGAACCCUAAAUAGCAUUUCUUAACUAUGGGAUUAGCAAUAUGUUUGGCUUUUCCAGUACUGAGAACUGUGCCUGCAUGCGCUUGAUAAUUGAUACACAACCUAAUUAGUAACUAAUCAAGGACCUAAUAAGUCUUUCAGUUAAUUAAAAUCCUUCUCUAAGUAUACUUAUCAUGACAUAAUUACUUGAUCAAGGCUGAAUUUCUAUUUUCAAUAACAUUAUCAUUUUCUUAUAUGAUUAGGGUUACAGAAAGUUCAGAAUUGCAGGUGAAAUUUUGCCACUAUAGCCCAUUUCGAAUUAGACCGUUGCACUAAAGUAUUGCUUUCUUUUGUUCAUAUACCCUUUUUAAGUUAAGAAUAAUCCAUUAUAUUAGUUUUUUUUUUUUCCAAGAAACUCUUCAAAUCAGGUAACCAAAACCAACCCAGUAUACAGAAGAAAACAAACUUAAUUGGGUUAAAAUCAAUUAAGGGUUUACUGUUGGAGAUGAGGAAAGAAUAUACUUGUCCUGCAAUAACAGAGGCAGUAGUAACAUGGGUAAAGUUUCCCUUUGCCAUGUCCUAUACAUAACAUAAUGAUGAUACGAAGUGGUGGCACAAAAAGAACUUUCUUGCAUGCUGAGACUCAGAGAAGUAAGCUACGUAUAUUUUUAUACGUUGCACUGUCCUAAAAGUUAUGGCCUUUCUUAGGAAUUAGGAUCAUAUAAUGGGGAAACAUGCCUUCUCCUCCUCUGAUCUCUCUACCACCUCAAAAACACACAAACCAAAAAGAAAACAUAAUCCAGACAAUUCCUACUGAGUUGGAAUUCCACUACAAUCUCCUUUUAAGAUAGCUUCACAUUCAAAAUCCCCAUCAUGAACGUGACUCCUCUUAAUUAAUUUUCUUGCCCUCAAUCUUGAGUAAUUCUCUUCAAAAAAGGGGAAAAGAAAAAAGGCUACAGCAUUCUUAAUUUAGAUUAUCAUAUCGAGGUGUUUCAAGGCAACUGAUUUUUAACAGAUAAUCUUUGUUUUUGUUGAAAAAAAUUAAUAAUUAAAGAGAAAAAUUAUAGUUUAUUGAUUUAAGUAUUUGAUUAUGUAUACUACUGCCAAAGUUCAUAGCUUCAACCCUGACAAGUUCUUGUUUUUAUAUAUUUUUAAGAAUUUUUUAUGUCAAAAAAAUAAAAGAAAAAGAGAAAAGGCUAUAUGAUCUCAUUUGCAUCCAAGUUUAGUUGAAAUGCCUUCCCUCCCUUGAUUUGCUUUGUCGUUUUGUUUUUCCUUUUUCCCCUCAUAUAUAUUGGCUUUUUACUUUUAUUUACAUCUAUAACCAAAUCAAUAUAAUUAAAGAGUUUGAAAUUGCAUUUGCUCAUCAUUCACGUGAUAAACAAACAAACUGCAAAAAGAAUAAUUAUGAUGAGCACUAUGAGUUGGUUUGAAAGUUAAAAAAAAAAAAAAAAAAAAAAAAAAAUCCUCCUUUUGGCUUUGUCAAAUCCACCAUUAUAAGGGUAUUAUGACUUUUUAUGGCAUUUAAACAAUGGAUUGUGGCUUAUUUUGUUUCAUAUAAUCAUACAAAUGCAAUGUCGUUUUGUUGGAGAAUAUUAAGUGAACGUUAUGCUAAUUACUAUUUGAUCACUAAUCAGAAAUCAGAAAUAUAAAUAACGCAGUGGGUAAAGACGAAAGAAAUAACGUAUGCUGGUGGCAAAUUUGUAAAUAUGAGAAAACAAAAAGCAAGGACCAUAAAUGCAAAAGCCGCAAAAAUACAAGAGAGACGUUAUAUGGCAAUCCCGCCACCCUUACCUUCCAUAGUCCAUAAAAGCUCAACAUAGUACACUCAACUCCACUUUCUGUCUCUCUUUCUCCCCUUUUAAUCCCUAAUUUCUGCACUAACCCAUACAAAUUGAAUGCACUAAAGCUUUCGUUUUUUUAACUUUCCAGUCACCGGAGUUCAGCGUUUCUUGAAUUGACGUUACCUUGAUGGGCUGCUCCACCUCUAGACUUGACCAUCUUCCGGCGGUGUCCCUGUGUCAUGAUCGCUGCAAGUAUCUCGAGGAAGCUCUCUACCAAAGCUAUGCCCUUGCGGAUGCUCACGUGGCCUACAUGCACUCCCUCAAAGCUCUUGGCUCUACUCUCCGCCGUUUCUUUGAACAAAACGUUGAUAGUAAUCGUUCUCAUUCUCCGUCCAGUGGUGAUUCUGCUGCCAUAAGACCUAAUCCAUGCAAGUCUUCUCCGUCACCUGAUCACUGUCUCUCGAGUUCAAACUCAGACUCGCAUCUCGAUUUCCCGUCUGACUCGGAGGACGAAGAAUCAGGGGAUACGGAUUUUGAUCUUCUUCACCAAAUCCACCCCAAUUAUUUUGACCGGCAAACUCCGACUCCAUCCAGAUCAACUUCGUAUUCUUAUCGCGAACAUAGUAAGUACGAUUACUACACGAACAAUGGUGGACUGUUUCGUUCGCCGACUCCGUAUGGUGCAUCCUCUCCUGACCGUGGUUCUGCCUGGAAAACACCGUCACCUCCUCCCCCUCCAAGUGGCUCCACUUGGGAGUUCUUAAAUUUCUUCGAUACAUAUGAGAGAUAUGAAUUACAGGCCAAGGAUAAGGAAGGGAUUCAAGAGCUUAAAGACGAAUUUGAAAGUAAAAUUCAUGGAGAAAGUAAACUUGGUGAAGAUUCUAAGAAGUUGGCGGGAGAAGAGAAACAGAUUAAAGCGAAAUUGACGGUAGAGAGCGGUGAUGUGACGAAGCAUGAAGUUCAUGUUGCAGAAUCUAAGGUUAUUCUGGACAAAGAGAAGAACAAAGAGAAUAAAAAUUCGGAAGAGUCUAAAAAUCGGAAUACCUCCGAGGUUAUUAAAGAAUUGGAGGAUCUUUUUGAGAAGGCUGCAGAAUCGGGAAAUGAAAUAUUAAAGAUUCUUGAUACAGGAAAGUUCCGUUAUUUUGAUAAGAAUUCUAUCUAUCAAGGUGAAUUCUCAAAUUGCUUUUAUUGUUUUACCUUAUGUUUUUUUGAAUAUUCUUUUAGUUCAGUAAUAAAUUGAUUGUUCUUUGUUCCUAUAGGAGUUUAUUCCAAGAAGUUAUCUUUCAUAGUGAUACCCUCUAAAGUUACAGAGAAGAUUGGUUCUGUUGGUGUGAGCUUUGAUGAAGAUUUGGCUGUGACUUCAGUGAAUUUGUCUUCCAUUAUCAAGAAGCUAUGCAUGUGGGAGAGGAAACUAUAUGAUGAAGUCAAGGUAUGCUUUACUCUUUCCCAAGAAGCUUUCAUCUCAGUAGCUCUUUACAUUGCUUUAUCUUUUUCUUUCUCUCCUUUUUUUUUUCCUUGGAAUGCAUGCUAGGUUUCUGAUAAAAAUUGCUUUGCAGAUACUAGAUUGUAUUGUAAUACUUUAAUUGCAUUUCUUUUAUAAAUAAAGCAAUUGACACUUUUCCUCAUUCCUUAUCAUGUUCCUUUUCUUGCCUAAUUUACAUAUUUGAGUAUAAUUUUUAAUUUUUAUUUUCUUUAAAAUGUCAUAGAAAAAUUUUUGUUGACAAGUUCAAAAUUAAAAUAUAUGCAUAAGGCAAUAGAAAGAAUCAACUGAGUAAAUUUCUUAGGUUACUUUUAUAAGUAAUAAUGAUGAAAGAUGAUGUUCAUUGUGAUGUAGGCUGAGGAAAAAUUGCGUAUUAUGCUUGCGAGGAUCUAUAGGCAGAUGAAAAAUAUGGGCGAGAAAGCUGCAGAAGCCAAUAAACUUGAUUCUGCUCGAACUGUAGUCAGGACAUUAUCUACUAAAAUCAAAGUUUCAAUUCAAGUUAUUGACAGGACAUCAAUUACUAUCAGUAAGCUAAGGGAUGAAGAGUUGUGGUCACUGAUCAACGAACUUAUUCAAAAGUAUGUCUUAUUUAUGUUUACACAACUAAAAUUAGACUAGAAAUUAACAGGAACAAAAAGAUUAUGGUUUUUUGAAAUGCUUGUCUGCAACAACUAUCUGGAUUAAGUUGAGUUAUUGCUGCUAUAAACAGAGCAAUUAAUUGAUUCACUUGUUAUUAUAGGUUACUUGGAAUGUGGAAAGGGAUGUUAGAAUGUCACAGAUCCCAAUCACAAGCAGUUGAGGAAGCCAGAAGUUUAGAUGCCAUUAUGUCUAAUGGGAAGUUUAGUGAAACUCAUCUAGAAGCAGCAAUGCAACUCAAGGUUGAGCUUCAGAACUGGAAUCUGGGUUUUUCCAAUUGGAUCGCUGCACAGAGAGGCUACGUCAAUGCUGUAAAUGGUUGGCUUCUGAAAUUUCUUCCAAAUGAACCUGAAGAAAUGCAAGACGGAACACCACCAGUCUCUCCUGGUAGGGCAGGGACACCCCCUUUGUUUGCUUUCUGUAAUAAGUGGUCACAUGCCAUUGGUAUAGUCUCAGAGAUGGAAGUGACUAAUGCUAUGCAUGGAUUUUUCAUGAAUGUAAAUCAACUAGUGGAAAGGAACUAUACACAGCUGCAGCAAAGGCUGACUGCGGAUAAGGAAUUGGAGAAAAGAAUGAAGAUCUUGGAGAGAGAAGAGAAAAGGAUGCAAAAGGUAUUACAAGCUCGAGGGAAGAAGAUGUGCGCAGUCACAGGAAGGGCUGUGCAUCAGAGUGAAAUGACCAACAAUAAUAGUCUUCAAUUUGGUCUUAGACAGAUUUUCAUGGCAAUAGAGAAAUUCUCUGCCAAAAGUGUGCAAUUUUAUGAGGAACUUCAUGUUCAUGUUGAAGAAAGCAGCCUUACUUGAGAGAAUCCAGAAGGUCCUUUUGUUAAUCUUACAUUGAGUUUAUUCGCAUUUUCCUGUUAACUUUAACUUGUCAAAAUUCGAGGCAAUUCUUCAGCUGGUGUAAGUAUCAAUCUAUUUUUCUGUUACAAUGGCUCUUGGUAAAGUUGAAGAAGCUGAUCUUUUCAUUGAUUCACCCAUCUUCUGUCAGUUUGACAUUUUGUCUGACACUAUGAAGCAGAGCAUCCUGGUAAUAAUGGGCUGUUUUUGAGUUGCCAUUUGCUAAGGUUAUUGUAAAAAAAGAAAAUUUCUAAUUGAGCAAAAGCACAGAGCCAUAAGGGUAUACUUCCUUUGACAAUUUGAUGAUGAAUUUGCAGUCUUAUUGUCAUGAGCUACUGCUUAAUUUCUCAGGUCAGAACAGAAUUCUCAACGGAAAUUUUCAGCUUUCUCAUUGGAUUAUUUUAGUGAUUCCAGUCAGUACAUGUGUAGUGAAGGAAUCAAAACUGUUCUUUUUUUUUUUUCUUCUUCUUUUUACAAAUAUAGAAGAUUCUUAAAUCCUAUGCUUGUAGAAAAGUGUUUCUGAUUCCAAAUUGCAUGUGAAGUAGGUCUAUAUUUUGCAUAAGCUUUGUUAAGCGUAGCAGUAAAAGACAUUUUCAAGCUCAAAUGGGGAAAUAGAUUUCUUCUGCUUUGAGACAGUUAUUCUGGGGAAAGUAUGGAAACUGAUAUGUCAAAGUUAAUUAGCUUCAGAUAACAUUAUUAAAAUAGUUUUUGCAAAUAAUUGUAUAAUAUUAUUUUAAUUUCAUCAAAUAACAUUAUAUAAUUUGAUGAAAUUAAAAUAAUAUGGUAUUAAAUGGACGUGAGUGUAUUUUUUAGAAUUAUUAAAUGGACACUUAAUAUGGUAAUGGACAUUGUCAAAUAUUUUUACUUAAAAAAUAAAAACCAUAUCCAAAUAUUUUGUUUGUUGUGGAGUUAAAUCUAUAGUGGUUGUAAAUUAUGAUAUUUUGGUUUUUCAAAAAUAGAAAAAUUCAAUAUUAAACCUUAAUUAACAAUUAAAAUGGUACUUACUAAAAUAGAUGAUGAUUGCGUAAUCUUAAUGAAGCAUUAAUGAUGUCAUUUGACGAGAUAACUAAAAUUGCAAUAAAGCUUCCACUGGGGUUGCGUGUGAUUGACCCUUUUUCUCAAAACCCAAAGCAAAAGCCCAUGUGUGGAACCAGAGGAAAAAAGACAAAAAAAUCCUUGACCCGCGACUAACUCUAUUAGCGAUGAGCGACAUUUCCUCUCGUAAUGAAAACUCGUAGGCAUUACGCAACGCGCUGCGUUGGGCGAGCUGAAGAGCAUAAAACAGUGUAUUACACGUGACAGUAAAUGAGCACAGAAUAUAAUCGUUUGGAUAAGUUUAGCCACGUAUAUAUUUUUAGAAAUUAACCUGUCUAAAAAAUAUUUUUUAAUUUUUCACUGUUUACGGUAUAUUCAGACAAAUUAAUGAAAAGAAAAUUAAGCCAUAAUAUUAAUUUUCAACGAAGUUGCCAUAUUUUUUUUUUUUUUCAAAAUGUACAAAAUUUUUAAAAGGAAAUGAUAGUGUUAUGUAUAAUUAAUUUAUAGUUGACAGAAUAUGAAACAAACAUUAAUCUAAAAUAUUAUAAUUUAAGAACAUUGUUUCAGAAUUACUGGAAGAAAGCAGCAGCGGUAUUUCGGGCCUUGUCUGGUGUCUCCAUUCCAUCUCCAUGGAAAGCGCCAUUUUUAUAUAUAAAUUUUCAUUUUGUUUUUUAGCAAGUAAAUAAAAUAAUUUUUAUUUUUGGAUUCUCAGAAAAUAUGUUUUGGUUUCCGGUAGCUCACGGCAGCUGAUGAGACGGGUAAGGCAUCAAAUCAAGAUCAACCGUACACCUUUCAGAUUUGUCAUUUACAUGAUUCUUAUUAUUUUACAAAUUAAUAUUAAUAAAUUAUAGUUUAAGAGAGAAUAAUUGCAGAGUUUUGUGGAGAUUAUAGAAUAUUUUAAUAAUUUUUUUAUUUUUGUGUUGGUUUUACUAUUAAUACACGAGUGUACCAUGGCAAUAACAAAAAUAGGUACGACAGGAUAGUAUUAUGAUAACAAAUAAUUACGUGAAAAUAUAAUUUUUUUAAUUAUAAUAAUAAUGUAAUAAUAAUAAUGCAAUUAGCGUAAUUAUUGAAUUCAACUUAUAUGUUGGGUCAAUUUCAAAAAUCGGUAAACAGACUUCACCAUUAGACGAUUUUAUUUUUUAAUCUUAAAAAAAAAAACGGAUUAAAUUGAGUGAUCAGUUGUUAAACUGAUCGGGAUUAUAUAUUUUAUUAUAUUAUAAUAUUUAAUUUAUAUGUGUAAUUAAUAUUAAUUAAACCAAUGAUCCAUAGGGCUGAGGUUAAUAAUAUUGGGAAGUAGCAUUUUCGCAACGGGAUAAAAUGAGCGGAAGAAUAAUUUGGUGGAAAAUAAUAAUAUAAUAAUAUGAGUUUUGUGUCUGAGUAGUGGAUGGAUAUAAUCAAACGAAAAUAUCGCGAAAGACAAACAUUAAGAAAUAAGCAUGAGUUUUUGGAUAGAAAGACAAAAAUACCCUCCAGCACGUAAAAAGGACAACUCAAUACGAGAGGAAAGGAAAGAAACACAGAGAGACGGAGAGAGAGGGAGGGGUUUUGUCAGUGCCGAGAGCGAGAGACAGAGACAGAGAGAGACAGAGGGAGGAGAAACAAAGAAAGAAAAAAGAACGCGCAAAUAGAAAGGAAAAGAAAGCUGCAGCAGCUGCUAAUCACUCAGCAGAACUUUUCUCUUUCUUUCACUCUCUUUUCACUCGUCCACACGGACGCUAAGUCUACUGUGGAAAAGCUAUAACAGAGUUCGACGAGGUAGACAAAACCGUUUCUCUUUCUGCUGUCUAUCCGCCCGCCUUACCUUCUCUCUUAUAUGUUUUCUUUCUGAAACGGUGUUUUGGUGGAGGGGGCAGCUCACUCAGUUAACUCGGACCGAGUUAUGGGUUGUUGCCAAUCUUCCUUCUUUGAAGUACGUGUUCCGGAGGAAAAAGCCUCUAACAACCACAACAACCACCACCACCAGAAUCACCACCCUUGCCAUCCGUCCAAUGGCACCGAACCUAGCACUGCUGCCUCCGGAGGCAUCCCCUCUUUCAUUGAGUUUUCCUUAGCUGACCUAAAAGCCGCUACCAACAACUUUAGCCCUGAGUUCAUCGUUUCUGAAAGCGGUGAAAAGGCGCCCAAUGUCGUAUAUAAAGGCCGCCUACAGAAUCAGGACAAUCGCACUUGGAUCGCUGUUAAGAAAUUUACAAAACUUGCCUGGCCUGAUCCCCAGCAGUUCGCUGUAAAUUCCUAUUAUCAUUCUUCUUCCAUUUCCUUAUUAAUUUUUACCUACGUUUCUAGGGUUUUCUUUUAGUAAUGUUUUUAUUCUGCUAAAUGAUUUCUUCAAGGAUGAGGCCUGGGGUGUUGGGAAGUUGAGGCACAAGAGGCUAGCUAAUUUGAUAGGGUACUGCUGCGACGGGGACGAAAGGCUAUUGGUGGCGGAGUACAUGCCCAAUGAUACCCUUGCCAAACAUUUAUUCCACUGUAUGUUUUGCAUUCUCGCCUUCUCGGCCUUCUAAUUUCUUUUUAAUCUGUCAUUUCUAUGCUGCUUUCAUAAGUUACUUGAAAUUUCAACCUAGAUUAGAUUUCAGCAGAGUUGUAGCUUGGUUUAUUUCGUUUCAUUUUAUUUACGUGAGGCAAAUAGUAUUUUGGAAAGAAUAUUCUAGGCUCUUUGAUGUUGUUAAGCUGCAACUAUGAGAAAGAAUCUUUACCAAAUAUAAUGAUCUCUGCUUUUGUUAUGAUCAAUUGAAUCCUUCACGAGUUUCACUAGUUCAUUUCCAUAAGUUGACUUUGUGCCCCUGAAUAUAAUUUUACUUACUUUCCUUAACAGGGGAAAACCAAACCAUCGAGUGGGCCAUGCGUUUAAGAGUUGCUCUGUAUAUCGCUGAAGCUUUAGAUUAUUGUAGUUCUGAAGGUCGUCCAUUGUACCACGAUUUAAAUGCUUAUAGGGUUCUUUUUGACGAGGUACUUAAUGAUUUGAUUCGUUUUAUCUAGUCUGUUUGAGGUGUUAGUAAUUCUUGUGACCACAUAUUUUUGUGCUGGUCUCAUUAUUGCAAAAUAUCCGGUUUUGUUUUAUCUUGAGCAUUUAUUGGAUUUGUGAGACCGAAGUGGUAAUUUGGUGGUUGGUUUUGGCAGAAUGGUGAUCCUCGGCUUUCGUGUUUUGGCUUGAUGAAAAAUAGUAGAGAUGGAAAAAGUUACAGCACAAAUCUUGCUUAUACACCCCCCGAGUAUUUAAGAAAUGGUAUUCUUUUGCUUUUUUGCACAUCUUAUUCAUUACAUGCAGACAUCUUUUAUAUUGGACUUGGGAAUGUUAGUAGUCAGUUAAAUCACUAUUUUUAUCCUUUCUUUCCCUUUUUGCGUAUUAAUGAUUCAAAUAAUGAUGAUAUGAAGUGCUCUAUGACAAAAGUUUGGAAAAGUUGAAUACUAUAAUUUAACUGCUUGUGUGGCAAUCUAAAAGUGGAGGAGAAAGGAAAAGAAAUUAUUAGAAGGAAAUGUGGAGAAAAGAGAAACAAUUGAAAAUGUAUUUUCUGCUGUUUAGAUCAGAUCUUAGAAAAAUAAGUCAAGUGUCUUCUGUUUGUACUUCAUCAAACCUUUGGUAAUGCUAAAAUUUUUUUAAGAGAAUUAUGUUUGUAAUUUAACACUAUUUCAUUUCAUGUCCCUUCUCUCCGUCCUCUCCUAUUCCCUCGUCCUUUUAGUACCCAAAUGGAGGAAGAUAAUUCAAUUUCACAUAUCUUCUGUUUUCCCCUUGCUUUGAACCAAACAAACUCAUAAACAGAAAGUUCAUAUAUUAUAGAUUAUGCUGUAUAACUUCUCCAUUUUUGUCAUGUCUGAAAUACACUGAUAUCUUCAUGCCAUUGUUUCUUGUUAUCAUACUACUAAAAAGGCCAUAUUCCAUAGGGCAGUGGUCUGCAGACUGCAGUAGUUAUGAAAAACCCUUGAUAGAGUGCAAAAACACCCGCUAGAAAAUUUCACCCAAUGUUCAACUUUUGUGCUUUCACCGAAGCCUGUAGGUUUUACAAUGAUUUGGGCUGAUUUGGAAGUUAAAUUUAGUAGCAAUAUGGCAAGAACUUACAUGUAGAAGUCAUUUAAGAUUCAAGUCAGUGAAAAAGAGACAAUCACGAAGCUUGGUGGAAUUAUCAUCCUAUUUUGAAUGCGACAAGUAGGAUUUACGUUAUGUUGAUGCCAAGUGAGAAGACAUUGUUCGCAGCUCAGGCAUGCAGAAAGAAGGUAGGGGGUUGUGAAUAUGCCAUGGCAUUGCUGAGAAAUGCUUUCAUGCUAAUUGAAAUAUCUAGAAGUUACACAUAAAAAAUGUCUGAAUAAGGGAUUUAAUGUGUGCACUGUUAUGUUUAUAUAUAUAUAUAUAUAUAUAUAUUACAUGCAGACAUCUUUUAUAUUGGACUUGGGAAUGUUAGUAGUCAGUUAAAUCACUAUUUUUAUCCUUUCUUUCCCUUUUUGCGUAUUAAUGAUUCAAAUAAUGAUGAUAUGAAGUGCUCUAUGACAAAAGUUUGGAAAAGUUGAAUACUAUAAUUUAACUGCUUGUGUGGCAAUCUAAAAGUGGAGGAGAAAGGAAAAGAAAUUAUUAGAAGGAAAUGUGGAGAAAAGAGAAACAAUUGAAAAUGUAUUUUCUGCUGUUUAGAUCAGAUCUUAGAAAAAUAAGUCAAGUGUCUUCUGUUUGUACUUCAUCAAACCUUUGGUAAUGCUAAAAUUUUUUUAAGAGAAUUAUGUUUGUAAUUUAACACUAUUUCAUUUCAUGUCCCUUCUCUCCGUCCUCUCCUAUUCCCUCGUCCUUUUAGUACCCAAAUGGAGGAAGAUAAUUCAAUUUCACAUAUCUUCUGUUUUCCCCUUGCUUUGAACCAAACAAACUCAUAAACAGAAAGUUCAUAUAUUAUAGAUUAUGCUGUAUAACUUCUCCAUUUUUGUCAUGUCUGAAAUACACUGAUAUCUUCAUGCCAUUGUUUCUUGUUAUCAUACUACUAAAAAGGCCAUAUUCCAUAGGGCAGUGGUCUGCAGACUGCAGUAGUUAUGAAAAACCCUUGAUAGAGUGCAAAAACACCCGCUAGAAAAUUUCACCCAAUGUUCAACUUUUGUGCUUUCACCGAAGCCUGUAGGUUUUACAAUGAUUUGGGCUGAUUUGGAAGUUAAAUUUAGUAGCAAUAUGGCAAGAACUUACAUGUAGAAGUCAUUUAAGAUUCAAGUCAGUGAAAAAGAGACAAUCACGAAGCUUGGUGGAAUUAUCAUCCUAUUUUGAAUGCGACAAGUAGGAUUUACGUUAUGUUGAUGCCAAGUGAGAAGACAUUGUUCGCAGCUCAGGCAUGCAGAAAGAAGGUAGGGGGUUGUGAAUAUGCCAUGGCAUUGCUGAGAAAUGCUUUCAUGCUAAUUGAAAUAUCUAGAAGUUACACAUAAAAAAUGUCUGAAUAAGGGAUUUAAUGUGUGCACUGUUAUGUUUAUAUAUAUAUAUAUAUAUAUAUAUUCAAUGUUAUUAGCUGAUAUGUUUGUUGCAGGAAGGGUCACUCCUGAAAGUGUCAUUUUCAGCUUUGGGACUGUCCUCUUGGAUCUUCUCAGCGGAAAGCACAUCCCUCCUAGUCAUGUAAGUAUUUCAAAUUCCAUCUCUGGUCUGUAAUUUAUAUUUUUUGGAUGGUAAAACCAAAAUUCAGUUGUAUGUCAUUUGAUGAUGCUUCUUACCACAAAGUUUUAUAUAUAUCAAGUAGCUGCUGCAUUGUCUUGUGGGCCGCUCAAACAGGCUAAUUUUUGUUCUUCUCUAACAUUCAAUUCUUGGACUUGUUGAUUUGAUUUGUGGUCUUUUGUCACAAUUUUGAAAACAAAGUAGAUCAAUUUAAUUCAUUUUUAUUUGCUCUGACCAAAUUUAAAUGAAUUUCUCUAGUCAAAACAUCAAAUCAAAUUGAAAAAUUAAUUGAAGUUUGAUUAGACCUAUUAAAUCCUGCUUUAUGGUUUGUUCCUAACAGGAUUUUUCCCCUCAGUGGAAAAGGAUAGUUUAAUCUCUUUUUUAUAUUUGGUUCAUUAAAUUAUCAAUAGGUCUGUAGAUGCUGCAGAAAUUAUCGUAGUUUCUGUUUGGUUCCCCUCCAUUUAUUUCGUUAAAUUUCAUAGUUGAAAUGGUCAUGGAACAAGUAGAUAAUGAAUGUUCAAGAUCAUGAGCCGUAGCCAUAAGCUUGCUGUGAUACAGUUGCUGAAUGUUAUGUUGUGUGUUGGAAGUAUGUUUUUAAUAACUUCGAUGUACUAUUUCUAUUUAUUAUUCAUUCAGGCUCUUGAUAUGAUACGGGGGAAAAACAUCCUUCUCUUAAUGGAUUCACAUUUGGAGGGAAACUUUUCAACUGAAGAGGCAACAGUGGUCUUUGAUCUUGCUUCACGAUGUUUACAAUAUGAACCUAGAGAGCGGCCAAAUACCAAGGACCUGGUUGCAACAAUUGAGCCUCUGCAAAAUAAACCCGAUGUAAGCUGUCUUCCUUGACUUUGUUUGCUUUGGUUUGUGUGAUGAUAUUGUGAUGCAAAGUAUAUUAAAUUAGUAACAGGAAAAAACAUACUAAACUUCUUGGAACACUAGAUUGCUAGUCAUGAUGGUGAACUGCAGAUCUAAUUAAUUUCUGGCAAUUGAUACAUUAAUCCAUUCUCAGCUUUUAUAUAUUCAAUACUGUUAUUGUGAGAGGAUUUUUGCGUUAGCAUAUGAAAAUUUACAGUUCCACGAUAAGCAUCAAAGCACCCUUUCAAUAUUUAGAAAUUAGCCUUCCUGUAAUGGAUUCAGUUUCUGAAUCAUAUAUCUUCUUUUGCAGGUUCCGUCUUAUGUGAUGCUUGGAAUUCAAAAGCACGAGGAAGCGCCGCCUACACCACAACACCCUCUUUCUCCAAUGGGUGAUGCAUGUUCACGAAUGGAUCUCACAGCUAUCCAUCAGAUCUUGGUCAUGACGCACUACAAGGAUGAUGAAGGAACAAAUGAGGUAAUUGAACUAUGAGUAUAGUUUCUCUGAUGCCUAUUUGUAAUGCUAUUCUGAAAUCUUUAUCUGACAUGGUUUUUAGCUAUCAUUCCAAGAGUGGACCCAACAAAUGAGAGAUAUGUUGGAGGCAAGAAAGCGUGGAGACGUAGCAUUUCGUGACAAAGAGUUUAAAACUGCAAUAGAGUGUUAUUCUCAGGUGCGUAUUUCUUUCUUGCUUGAUGUGAAAAUGAAAUGAUCAUAUCUAGUUGUUAUUUGUUACCUUGUUCUCUUAUGCUUUGUGAAUCAUGUGAUUUUUACUUGCACAUUUGCAUUGGAUUUAGGCAGUAAAACUGGGUGUGGAUAUUUACCCAGCUAAAAAAUGAAGUUUUUGAGUUAAAAUUUGGAUAUCUCGACCAGGAAUUUAUUGCUUCUUAAUCCUCUAAUUCAUAUGAAUUUUCCUAUUAUGUAUGAAUGAUUCUUGUAAGAUAGUAGUCUAGAUGAUGAAAAGAACAUGUAUUAAUCACAAACAUACAUACACACGUAUUGACUCCUACCCCAGCAUCUUAAGAAACAAAUACAUGAUGGGUGUUUGUGCAGUUCAUAGAUGUCGGAACAAUGGUUUCUCCAACUGUUUAUGCACGGAGAAGUCUUUGCUAUCUUUUAUGUGAUCAACCAGAUGCUGCCCUCCGAGAUGCUAUGCAAGCACAAUGUGUAUACCCUGAAUGGUCUACAGCAUUUUACAUGCAAGCAGUCGCCCUUGCCAAGCUAGAUAUGCAUAAAGAUGCAACUGACAUGUUGAAUGAGGCUGCUGCCCUAGAAGAAAAAAGGCAACGUGGCGGAAGAGGAUCUUGAGGAGCGACUUUGUAAUAAUUCUUUUGUACUUCGUAGGUGAAUUGUUGUGGUGGUUGUAGCAAAAAUUUGGGGUUAGUGUAAUGAAAAUGUAGAAAUUUGGUUCUCAUCCAAAAUGUAACAUAAUAGUGGGAGGGAGGGGGAGACGGAGAGGUGGUCCUUCUGUUCUGUACUGGCUGUUGCAAUGUGGUUCUUGUUUUUGCCUCCAAAUUGGAUGAAAUAAAAAUUUGAUUCCACUUCAAUGUGCUUGCCGAUACAGGAAACAAAAAACUAAUUAAUAAACUAUUGGAACCCCAACACCUUUAAAAAUUAAUAAUAAAUAACAUGCCCUUUUUGAUUCAUCAUGCGCUUUUUUCUGCUAUAGACUUAUAAACCUUUCAAUAACCCCUCGAGGGUUGACAAAAUACAUAAUCAAAAUUCAUGUAUCUAAAAUAUGAAUUAAACAUGAGAUCAGUAAAGAUUUUGGCAAA
rnacentral:lncRNA from 1 species